rnacentral:lncRNA from 1 species
UAUCAUGACAUGAACAUCCAGGAACGCUUACUCAAUGUCGACGAACUAGUGCUCCGCCGGAUCCAGUCCACCAAGGACAUGCACAAGCUGUCGGCCCCAUAGGAGGAGCCCUUCAUCGUUAAAGAAGUCAUCCAACCCAGCACUUACCGGCUGCAGUGGGCGGACGGCUCAAGCGUCCCCAACCCAUGGAACAUCCAACACCUGCGGUGCUUCUACCCCUAAGACCUAAAAGCUAUGUACUCUUUUUACAUUUUGCAUUGAAUAAAUAAAACCCCAGAGGUUCCUUGUGUACCUACCACCUUCUCGCUUCCUUACCCGAGCCCUUACCGGGGGUUGUUUCGACCUGAUCGACGGACCAUACCCUUGCCAUUUUGCUCAGGGGCUUCCCCCGUUAUGUGCCGACCUUCGUGUCUCACCCCUUCUCCUUCCCCUCCCACGGCAAAUAUGACUAACUCAUGUGGACGGUGUCCUAGCUCGUGAAACCCAGACAACUUUGCACCUGCCCCCUCUACAAGCUCGAGAUCCACUCUCAGCAGAGUGCUGGCCAAACAAGGUUGGGCACUUAGCGGCUAUAGGUCUAAUCCACUUGAUGUCCUGUCAUAUACAAUAAAGGAGGGUGGAUGCUUUCCAUUUUCACAAGUCAUCUAUUUACAUAAUUAUCCAUAACCUGGAACAAAUUGAUACACCACAAGUUCUGUUUUAUAGGUCCAGCUCCUUAACAACAUUCUCCACCACACCAUUAAACUCCUUGGCCAGUUCCGGGAGUUUCCUCAUGUCAAAGUCCACUACGACCCCUGCACCAGCACACUCUAGAGGAAUCCGUGGGAAGUGCAUCUUUAGUACCGCCAAGACAUUCUUGGUGCACUCCAUCACGGUUUCCUUUAGCAAUCCUUUUAGUUGGCCAGGCGCACUCUUAAGGUGAUCGAGAAGUGGCAUCGGCCCGGCUGGGUCAGCUUCCAGUUGGACCAUGUCCAUCACAUAGCCGGCCGCCCUGCGCAGACCUUCCAGCUCCACCUCCAGCCCUGCAAUCACCAAUUGGUCACGCUUAAGACUUUGCAUUGCGGUGACUAAGCAUUGGUCAGUGUCCUUAUGCAAGCCAACCUCAUAAGUCAGUUUCUACGACACUGCAUACUCAUAGUGAACUACCACAUCGUGAUCUUGCUGGAGCUGGGCGUUGGCCGCCUCGCACUCCUUGAGGUCCUGGCUGAGCCUCUGCUCCCUUGCAUCAGCAUCUGCCCAUCAGAAUCAACACACAUAAGCACCAGGAGUUCAGGAUUAGAACCAAGCCAGCAGGUUGGAGCAACAUACCUUUUAACAGUGCAUCGAGGUCACCCUGGAUUUCCUUGGUUAUCUGUUUAUGUUCGGCAAGCUCUCGGUCCUUCUGCUUGAGCAGCUUCACGGCGUCCUCCUUGGCCCUCUUGAGGUCGGCCUCAAGCUGCUGUGCCUUAAGACUGUUGAAGCAUCCCCACAUCAUCAGAGACUAAAUAUGAUACAAAUAUCAGUUCCAGGAGGCUGAUAACACAUUUAUUCAAUAGAUAGUUCAAAUACCGUACAACUCCCAAGGGAGUGGGCGCGAAAGCCACGCCGAAAUGAUGAGCAAAUAAAUCACAGCAGCGAGUCAAGCUAUUGUCAAGCGAUAGCACUCAGGACUACACGGCAGUGGAAGCACUCUGCAAAGGCCAACACCACAGGUAGCGUUGGGUGCGGAAGCGACCUCCUACUCAAAUUCCUCGGCAACGAAGUCUGGGUCUUCCUCUGUAGCAACAAACAAGAGUGAGUACAAAAGUACUCAACAAGUCCAACCCCAUCCAUGGAGGGGGAUACAAUCAAGAAUAUGCUCAAGAUAACAAGGAUAAGGCUAAGGUUUAUUUUUGCCAUAAAGCUAGGUUUUUCCACACAUGCAGGGGUUCCUUUUCAAAGAGAUUUUCACAAAACAUUUUCUUUAUUACUCGAAUCUAUAAGAGGGGUUGAUCUUACACAAAGGAUCCAAUUUUUAAUGCUACUGGACUCCCCGUCCACAGUAGCUCACGGCGCGACUGCCGGACACCUUCCAAAAUUCAACUCACACCAUGGAAAGCAUCCAUCACCCAAACACUAGUUAUGUGUGCAAGCCGUAACUCGUCCAAUACUGUGGACACAGCUAUCCGGAUAGGUUCUAACUCUGCAGAGGUUGUACACUUUACCUAUAAGUAGGGUACCGCAGCACGAUCACCUUUGUGUUGGUGCAGAUCCUAUCAAAGCCAUUACCCACCUUAGCUAAGAAUGACUAGCCAACAUGGAAGCAACCAAGGGGUUAAUGACCUUCCAACGAUGUCUUAACCGGGAUUUAAGUUCACAAAGUUUUUAGUCCUUCUCCAUGGUCUCCCAUUGCUCACCAGCUCUCUUGAUGACUAAUAGACCAGCUAGUGGGAUUUAUGCUAAGCCGCCGCCCACACAACGGUCGAGUGGUUGCAUGAUAGUGGGUUAGGCAAUAUGGCACAUCACUCGGUCCUUAAAUGUGACAAGAUGGAUAUCUCCCAACCUUUCUCAACCAUAAAGGUAUGAGCCCAACCUACUGGCAUUUCACACAAGAAACACCCAUCCAUCUCAUCUAAGAAUUUCCUUUCUUUAUUUCCGAAAAUCCAUUUUCUCAUUUGAAAACACUCACACAUUUAUCCUUUAAAUAAACUAUUGUGGUCAUGAUUGAAUUGAGUAACAAGGUCCGAAGCAUUCUAGCAGUAAUUAUCAUCCAAACAGAGCAAAUCAUAUUUAGAGAUAAUUAUAGGACAAAUAAGAAAUGUUCAUAAGAAUCAAGGGAUGGCUAUCCAACCGUAUUUCAGCAGUAAAACAAUAUACAAUUUUGUAAAAUAGGCCAAUAGGUUGUGUUUGAAAACUAGGAAUAAAUAUGCAUCAAAGGGUGAGAUUGGAGUUGCCGUCCUCAAAGCCUUCCGGGGGUUCUUGCUCACGGUGCUGGUCCUCGGGCCUGGGCUCACGGUCAAACUCUUCCUCAGGUACUCCACGACCUAGGGCACACACAAUCGAGCACACAAUAAAUAAAAGAAAAUAAGAUUUUACCCGUUGAGCUUCGAACAGAGAACGCGAACGAAAAGUAGAAGGAAUGAGUAUUUCCAUGAAAUUUGGAUAUGACUUGGCGGAAGUAUAUUGGAGGAUGACGUGGUCGAAUUUGGGAUUAAUUGGAGGAAGUUUGGCGCAUGAAAUGAUGAGAUAACCGUGUAUUUAGGGGUCAAAACAAGGCUUUAGGACUAAACUGCGAGAAACCAGGGACCUAUUUGUAAAUACUUUUGGGAGGCGGAGGGGUUGAUCUAUGGAAAGAGUAUGAGAGAGGUGGGAGGGUUAUUUCGUGAAUAGAGAGAAGUAGGAGGUUACAUCGAAAUGGGGGGGGGGUUCUUCUUCCUCCUUUGAACCGUGACUUGGAGAGGAGAGAGGAGGGGAAAUCCGGUGGGGGCGGCCGGCCAUGGCUCGCCGGCAGCGAGCUUGGGCGGCGGGGGAAGGUGGAGGAGGCCGUGGGGUCUCCAUUUUGCCCCUUACCUUGGGGAUUUGGUUGUUGGGAAGGGGCGGCCGGCGGAGGAUAGGAGGCGGUGGCGGUUAGGCGUAGGGGGAAGGCGGGCUGCUCGGUGAGGUGAUGGUGGGGCGACGAGGCAAGGCCAGGGCUCUGGCAGCUUUUAUAGGUGGCGAGGAAGGGAGCUGCCGGUGGGGGCCUGGACGGGGCGGGCGUCGUCGCGGCCGGCGCAAGGCGGGGCUAGCGCGGUGGUGGAGCGGGGGCCGGAGGCACGGCCGGGCAGGCGCGGUAGCAGAGCGGGGGCUGAUGGGGGACAAGCCGGCAGCACGGUCGUCGAGGCGCGGCCGGCCGGGGUCGGGGAUGCCGUGCCAGGAAGCAGGGGGCACCGGGCAUGGGGCCCUGCGUGAGAGGCGAGAGAAAAAAAAGGGGGGCGUAGGGGCGCAGGCGCGGGCGAUGGGCCCCACACGCCGGUGGUGAGGAGAGAAGGGAGGGGGGCCGGCCAGAGGAAGUGGCGCUAGGAGGGGGGCUAGCUUGGAGGGUGGCAUGCGUGACCAGCCAGGGAAGAAGGUAGGAGAAGAAAGAAGAAAGAAGAAGAAGGAAGAAGAAAGAAGAAAGAGAAGGAAGAAAAAGAAAAGAGAAAACAAGGAAAUAGGAGAGAGAGAGAAAAAAGAAAGGGAGAGUCAGCGGUGAUUGCGGAAUGCGGUCGGAGCAUGCGCGGCGGUCUGUCGACCGGCAGGCGGCGAAAUUUACGGAGAGGAUAAAAGGAUGGUUGUCGGCUUCGGGUGCCGGGAUGGCGAAAUCGCCGGGAUGAUUUAGAUUUUCGGGUGCUCAACAGUAAAAAGAUUUUGGAAACAAUUUUUAGCGGGUGAUUUGAGUUGGCAUAUUUUACGGGUGUUACAACGGUAUUCCUCGGCUCGCUAAAUCGUGUCUACCUUCUUGUGCGCACGCACGGCUAGAUUCUGCCCACACACUAAACUCAGCACACUGGAAAGAAAUGAAACCUCAAAUGCAGAUCUCCAAUGGUAGUUGGCAUACUUACAUAUAACAGUGUAGAGACCUUGGAAGACGUCUGCUGUAGCUCAGCAAGGUCCUUCUUGUCUUCCAACACGUCCCCAACAAGGCUAGUCCCGAAGAAGUCCAAGGUGUCUAGACUAUCUCCUUCUUGCAUAUCCACGUCGGCAUCCUCGGCGAACCUCUCUAGCAGUGGAUCAUCCCUGGGCAGCUCCUCCAGGUGGGAUGUAGCUCCAGCUCUUUCACCAGUCACUUCUGUAGCCCCGGAGCUGGCUGCAGUAGCGUGCAUAGCAACCGCACUUGAAGCCGCAGCAUCCUCGACCAUGCCCUACUUUGGCACCGGAACUUGCACUGCUUCUCCUCCCACCCGACGAUCUUGGUCCUCACCGGCCUCUGGAGGUGAGGAGUGCUGAAGGAUGUGGCCGCUCGCUCCUUCAGCAUGACACAAACCAACAGUCGGCUGUGUACCAAACUCAUCAUCUAGCACGUUUUUCCUGUAUUGUUGGUGCAAAAGGAAAUAUGAGAAAGACAUGCAGCAAAAGAAUCAUGAGGUGGAUAAUAUAACUAGAUUACACUUACAUGGUGCUCUAUUUCACUCAAAACUUGGGACAAAAGGGUGGUGGCAGCACCAACAUGUCUUCGCUUGGUGUCCCUCCUCCCCCCUCCCCCGAACCUCCGCCUUCAGCUUCUCCUUGAUUCGCUCUGCAUCGGCCAUGGUCAUCUCAAGGAGCUCGGCCUUCAUCUUCUUAGCGACCGGGCUCGGCAAGUCGGACUCCUCGUCCACUUUGCUGGUCGAUCCGUUCGUGGGGGCAGUGCUCGAUGCAGUCUUUUCCUUCCUCCCGGCCACUUUUUUCCUCUUACUGCUCAGCUUCUGAGAAUUAGAGGCGGGAAGUUUCCUCACGGCCUGCCAUGUCCGGCAUCCAAUUGGCACGGAGUCCUCAGCCCUGCUGCCCUCGUUUGGUGCAUCCUCAUCCGACCCUUCAAUGGAGGAGUCCGACUCCCAAUCAAGGGCAACAGGCAGCUGGUCAGACUCGGUGGUCGGGUGGAUCUUGGGACGCUGCUGGUAGGCUCCUUCGGGAAGCGAUGCCAUACAGAAGAACUCAAACUCACGGCUUUGGCCAAUCAACAAGAUCGGUCAGAGAAAAUGCAAAAGCAAAGUAGGAAAGCCAAAUGAUGUAAUUAAGAUCUUACUGUGUCCACCAGCCUCUUGAGGGAGUACGUCUUGGGGUAGCACUUGUUCUUGAUGACACCACCGAAGAACUCACAUACAAGGUUGGAAACUUCUUCCUUCGACACCUUUCGCUGCACCUCUCGGGUCGGAACCAGUAGCCCUGAGUACUCAUACGCCGGGUGGACCCUGUCCUUGAUCGGCUGCUUCAGCCGCCGACAAAAGUUGAUGCUGACAGCCCCGACUGUGAUCCCACGACCUUUUAGGUUGGCAAUUUCCUUCAACAGCUGCUUCACCUAAACCAUUUCCGCAGAGGUCAACUGGUUUGACCACUCCGGCAUUGUCAAGGGUGCAUAUCCAAGGUGGGAUGACAGCUUGGGCUUCUGAUUGUCGAUAAGGAACCAUUCCUUGUGCCACCCCUUGUUCGAGUCCUUGAGCUUCAGCGAAAAUCCACAACCACAGAUCAAUCUCGACUUCUCCUUGGUCAACACAAUUUUCAAUUGGUAGAGAUAUUUCCACAGAUUGAAAUGGGGAGGAAUGCUGAGGAAAGCUUCGCAAAGGUGGAUAAAAACUGCGAUCUCCAAAAUAGAGUUAGGGUUGAGAUGCACUAACUUGAUCUUGUAGUACUUUAGCAACCCACAGAAGAAAUCUCCCAUCGGGAUCCCAAAUCCACGCUUGAAGAACACCGCGAAGACAACAGCCUCUGUCCUGUCCUCAGUAGGGAAGUCUUGGCCGGCGGUCACCUUCCACUCCAGCAGCAUGUUGGGCCCAAGGAGACCCCGGUUGACUAGGGCCUAGAUUCGCUCCUCGGUCAUCACGGACUUCACCCAAUAGGUGGAAGGGUCCAGUGCUUGCUCCACCGCUAUCACUUUAGUCUCUACCCCUCGUGAUGCAGAUCUAAUGUGGGCGGGUCUCUUGGUUUGCAUACAGCGGGGAUAGGCGGCGCAGAGGCGGUGGCUACAACCUUCGAGUGGAGGAGUGGUGGAUGCGGCGGCAUGACUUAGGGCUCUCAGGCGCGAUGAUGAUAGCAUUGGUGGUGGCGGUGCUUGACGGUGAGUGUGGGGCAAUGAAAAUGAAAAUGCGCCUCUUCGGCUUUUGAAGGCAUUAACGGCGUAAACCUAGCACCGGAAUCCGCGGAUCCCCCAUUACGACACAUGCGAUGGAUGGAAGCCACGGGUUUUCUGUUAAAUCUCACGGCGUACCUCCGUGGCUCCGCCGGUCCUCGUGCUCGGGGGUUGGUCGCCUAUCUCAGGUCAGCGUGCCUCCGUGGCUCCGCUAGUCCUAGUGCUCGGGAGAUGGGCACCUAUCUUAGGUUAGCGUGCCUCCGUGGCUCCGCCAGUCCUCGAGCUUGGGGGCUGGGCACCUAUCUCAAGUCGGCGUGCCUCCGUGGCUCCGCUAAUCCUCACGCUCGGGGACUGGGUGCCUAUCUCAGGUCGGCGUGCCUCCGUGGCUCUGCCAGUCCUCACGCUCGAGGGCUGGGCACCUAUGUCAGGUUAGCGUGCCUCAGUGGCCUCGCUAGUCCUCGCAUUUGGGGGCUGGACGCCUAUCUCAGGUCAGCGUGCCAUCUUGGCUCCGCCAGUCCUCGCGCUCCGGGGUUGGGCGCCUAACUUAGGCCAACAUGCCGCCUUGGCUCCGCCAGUCCUCACGCUCGCGGGCUGGGCGCCUAUUUCAGGUUAUCGUACCUCCUUGGCUCUGCCAGUCCUCGCGCUCGGGGGCUGGGCGCCUAUCUCAGGUUGGCGUGCCUCCUUGGCUCCGCUAGUCCUUGUGCUUGGGGGCUAGUCACCUAUGUCAGGUCGGCGUGCCUUUGUAGCUCCACCCUUCCUCAUGCUCAGGGGUUGGGCGUCUAUCUUAGGUUGGCAUGCCUCGCGCUUGGGGGUUGGGCGCCUAUCUCAGGUCGGCGUGCCUCCUUGGCUCCGCUAGCCCUCGUGAUCGAGGGCUGGGCGCCUAUGUCAGGUCGGCAUGCCUUUGUGGCUCCGUCAAUCCUCAUGCUUGGGGGCUGGGCACAUAUCUCUGGUUGGCAUGCCUCUUGGCUCCGCCAGUCCUCAUACUUGGGGGCUGGGUGUUAUAUUUGGAUUCGUUUUAUGACGGAAAUAAUACAUCAGAUUCUUAACCAUUGAACCGAUUACUUUAAUCGCUUCAAUGCUUGGGGGAUACUCCAUAUGGAGUGCGUCUUGCGACGUCCUCCAUGUGCUUUCCUUCGAUCUACAGGAUGUCAGACAUCCCGGAGCUUGGCAGUUGCAUAGCCAUGUGCAUUUGGUCAUACGCCUGUGGAAGCUUCGAUUUUUCUUCCUUUUUUGAGCACUGUGCAGCCUCUCCAUCACUAUGAUGACACCGCAAUUUCAGUCGAGUGCAUUACAAGCUUCGUUGCACAUCCGCCAAACUCCUGUUCGACUCCACAUCGCUCGGGGGCUUAAGGGAUAAAGGUACCCACGGGUCCCCACCGACCAAGAUACUCGUCGACUCUAACAGGUGGGCCUGCCCAACCAUGCCGUGUGGGCCAAGGCAUGAAGACAUGUGAAGCGCAAGCUAGGAGGCCGGGCGAAUCAAUUCAGCCUGGAUAUCAUGGGAUUCAUGUUGUAAACCGACUCAGAUUUAUUUCCUUGUAACAACUGAAUAGGAUUAGAUCCUAUUCGAUUUGUAACCCUAGGUCGUCAGCCUAUAUAAGGCGGUUAGGGACACCCCCUGAGGAUAGAGAACCCAACGCAUGUUAACUCUUCGCACCUGCAAUUAGCAAUACAACAAACUAGAACACAUGAUGUAGGGUAUUACUCUCCGGAGGUCCAAAUCUGUCUAAAUCUUGCACCCCUGUGUUACCAUUCGAGUUCUUCAUCUUACGAUCUUCCCCGUCUACAAAUCUACCACCUAGGUAACCCCUAGUGGACUGCCGAUCACUAAAUCCGAUACAACCAUAUUUGCGCACCAACAUUUAUCUUUUUUUUUGUUUCAACAGCAUGACCAUUACCUGUUGAUGAGAUUCGAUCUGAUUCACAAAAGAAAAAAGAGACAAAAAAAUAAAGAAAAUAAAUUUUAUUGACACUUGGGAUCCGAUGAUUCGUAAUCCAAUUUAGUACUCUCUCCGUUGCAAAUUGUUAGUUUAGCUUUUUAUUCUAAGUCAAAUUUAUAUAACUUCAAUCAAGUUUGUUUGAAAAUAUAUUAAUAUCUACAAUAUCAAAUGAAUACACUAUCAAGGUAUAUUUCAUGAUCUAUUUAGUGAACUUAGCUUGGUGUUGUAGAUAUUUGUAUAUUGUUCUAUAAACUUGCUCGAUCACUUAAUACAAAACUAAAACGACUUACAAUUUCAAACAAAGUGAGUAACAAGUUUUUGCUAGAUAAUAUACACCCAAAGAUGCAUCAUACAUUUUCUCCACAAGCGCACUGAAGUUUAUAAAUUUAGAUGAAUAUUUUAAAUUUGCACUAUGAUCAACAAAGAAUUGUGCCAGUCUUUGUCCCAUGUAGCCACUUCAGUGCCAUGCCAAAGCCAUAAUUUAUGAAUAAUAGUCUAAUACUAGUUGCAAUCUAGGUGUACAUGUAAUCCCAACUUUAUCAUCAAUUUAUAUUUUAUUUUACCUUCACUUUUUUGUAUAGCUACUAUGCUUUCUUCAUGAUAUAAAAAAUUCAAGUCUAGGGCUAUCAUAAUAGCAUUUUUCAGUUGCAAACAUAGCUCAACUUUGUUAGAAUUUUCACGAUGGAACCUGUGCAUAUACAUUUGGGUCUCCGACUCAGUACGAGUGCUCAUAUUUUUACUAAUUAUUAUUUUUUUAGUAGUUGGUGAUGUGCCUAUUGACAUCGGAACGCCUGUAUGACUUCGUCAAUCUCAAUAUAUAUUGGCUCAUAUUCUCGAAGGUGUUUAUAGAGGUAGUGUGUGUGGUUUUAUAAGGAUGAAUGUGUGUGUGUGCACUGUGAGCGUUUGGCUCAUAUUCUCGAAGCCCAUCUUAUCUCUUUUUUCCCAUUUUUACCAAGCUGUGUUUCUAUUUUUACUAUUUAUAUUAAAAGCUAAUGCGAAUUUAAAAAUUGAUAUCUUAUUGCAUACAAUGUGCAAACUUUAUGUUUAAAUCAUGUUAUCUUCUAGGGUGUCUUAGGGUAGUGCUGAUCGGUAAUUUAUAAAUGAACAUAUAUGUCUUUUUGUUAAUUAUUUCAUUAUGGGAAGGAUAGGUAAUUUAUAAAUACUAGUACAUAUAUUGCAAGGGAGAAAAAUAAAAAAAUAUCGCACUUCUCUUGGUGAUAGGACAUCUGCUGGUGCUUCUAAUGAUUUUUUGCAUCAAUGACAAAGAGGGGAGACUAGAUCCGCUUGGGCGACAGGGCGAGGGGAGACUCGGUGCAGCGGACAGGGAGACUCCAUUUGGUUGGUGACAGGGCAAGGGAGACUUAGCAUGGCUGUUGGUGGCUGUGAUGUUCCGUUCCUGUUAAGCCAGAUCACCAUGACAUUGAGUACCCGUUGCCCAUCCCUUUUUCAUGGCUUUCCCAAUAUGCUCCCUACCUUCGAUGUCUCCUUUCCGUGGCCCUACUUUCUGCGAGCUACGAGUUUUAUUUGAUCAAGUUUUUAAGAGAGGUGUGAUGUAUUCAAUGUUACCUAAAUCCUAAACGCUAAACAGCCGGCACCUACCAUUUAGCUCUUUAUUCAGACUAAACGAUCAAUUAAACGGGUUAAACGGUCAUUAAACAGGCUAAAUGGAUGAUUAAAUGGACAUGGAUAGACACUGUGCAGCAUGUAAAUAGGCUAAACGGCUGUGUACAUGAACACUGGAUGUAUUCGAUAAGAAAAUGUACUAAGAGUGGGGUUAGGAGUUUUGACUAUGGUAGUGCCUGAGCCCCACCUGUCAGUGGCACAUGACGGAUCAAAAGUCAAUGGACGGAAGAAGGGUAUGCUCUUUAGCCGUCUCAGCUCUCAAGGGUAACACUGAUCGGUAAUUUAUUGAUGAAUAUAUACGCCUUUUUGUUAGUUAUUGCAUAAUGGGAGUGAUAGGUUUAUAAAUAUGUAUGUAAUUUGAACAUAACUAUUUUUUUUAGUAAGAGCUGUGAGUAACUUUGUUUUUUCUUCAAAUGAGUACGCCUAGGCCUUAAGAGUAAAAGUGGGUCUCCUUCUGUUGCCAAUAAUUAAGAAAGAUAAUAGUACUCCUUUAAUUAUUAGAGACUUUAUUAGCUUAUUAGUAUACAACUUAUGACGAGAGGCAAAACAAUCAUGAAAAGUUACCCGAGGGCGCAUAUUGCUUAGUUUGUUAGAUUACUUUGAUGGAACUUGCAAAUUCGGUAUAAUUCUUCAAACUAUAUUCGUCUGGUUGUUAGUCGACUUAUCAAUAAAAAGAUAUUUACGGUUUCUUCGUCAGCCUCAAGACUUCGCAUUUUAGUAAACACUUCGCAUUUUAGUAAACUGUUGAAAUUAUAUGUGAACGUCCACGUGUACAACACUACAACUAUUUAAAAACAUUAUAAAAUUCUGACAAAUUUAAAAGGAAAGCCCCACGUAUAUUUGUUGGCUGCAGCUGAUACGGUUCGCAAAAUCUAGAGCACCGAGUGGUGACCGGAGAUUACCAAAUACUAGCAAUCAACCAUACGUGCUCCUGCCACCUCCUGAUGUGACUGCAGUGGAUGGAUUCCAGUGGGGUGCAGUGGUGCCCGGGACACAUCCCGUUCCCGGACCGCUUUGCGCGUACAUGUAUCUAUUCCAACCCAAUCUUAACCCGAUUCCUCUUUAAAAGCGUGCGUACAACGCAUCCCCCCGUCUCCAUUUCCCACACGCGUAACAAGUGUUGCGUGCCGGCACCCAGUGCCUGCCUAACUGUAGCUAACUAAUAGCUCUUCCACUGGGCGCCCUGAGGCUGCUUCUCCUCUGACGGAGCAGGAGGUGGGGGAGCAAUGGCGGCUGAGGAUGGGAGAGAGGAGAAGAGGGGCGCGGAAGCGGCGGUCGCGAGGAAGGCGAAGAAGCAGGGAGGGUUCAGGACUAUGCCCUUCAUCCUAGGUGAGUGAUUCACUCCUUCAAGUCCUCUGCUUACUCCAUAUGCUUUGAUCAAUUGAUCUGAUCUGUUCUGCUUAGAAUCCUGCUUUUACUCGACUGGAUUGUCCUUCAGAUUCUUCCUCUGUUUCUUGAGCUGGGUGCCUCUGCAAUUAAUUAGUCUCCAUUUUUCAUCGCCAAAAUUCAUAACCUGUUGUUGGGGGGAAAUCGUAACUGCUCAUCAGAAGAUAGCAUGGGAACUGAACUAAUAAAGAACGUUACCAAAAUCUCUCGUUGCAAUUUGCAAGUACUUUUCUUUUGAACUUUCAUUCCAAUACUGUCCCUGCAUGCACGCCACCUUUCGGUGCUGCAACGGGAACGGACGCUGCAUGUCUGAACACGCUGCUGGACGAUACCACAGAGCACGCCAGUCCACGCAUAUACGGCACUCCUCCUUUCGCACCAGUCCUUGUUGUUUUCCCUCUGGGUCAAACCAGUCUAUUGUGCUCGACCGACAUGGGCAACUAAAAAAUUGAUGUCUUUGGAUUUACGUCAGAUGAUUCAGCCAAGAACAGCAUCAAGGAUCUCCUUUAAGAGUAAUGAAAUUCUAAACUGCCAAACUGUAGCUAUCAGUGGCGGCGAUCAAUCAACCAUAGUGACCUUAUUGACCAUGUUUUGGCUAUCUUUUAGGUGAGUUGAGAACACCUUUUUAUUUAAUAAUUUAGGAAUCAGAACACCUUUAUAAUUAUCAAUUUAGGAACCUAUGUUGAUAGUAACAAUGUAAGGCUGAACUGCUGGUAAGUGUAUUAGUUUUUUUUAAAAAAAGUAAAGCUGAAGUAACAAUGUUUCUAUUGACACACAAGAAAAAUCCCUUGAUUUGCACAUGUCUCUACGUUUUGAGGUUUUUGUUUGAAUAAUUUCACUAUGGCAGUGUUGUGAAUAUUAUACUACUCCCACCACCGUUCUAAAUUAUAGGCCAUUUUGACUUUUGUAGAUUUAUAGACUUUGUUAUGCACUUUGAUAUACCCUAUGUCUAGAUGCAUAAUAAUAUUUAAUUAUGCAUCUAGAAAAGCUAAAUGACUUAUAAUUUAGGAUGGAGGGAGUAGCUUUGAAAGAAUGAGAGCCUUAAGCCUACAAUAUGAGUUCAGGACUUCAGGUCUUCAGAAAAAGCUGCAGUUUAUUGAUCAUAUCCAAAUGAAAAGAAUGUGAUCUUGUAUUUGUAGAGCUUGAGCGAAAGGGGGUCUCUAGUUGAAUUGGUUAGAUGGCCUCAGUAGCACUCCUCAGGUUCUAGAUUCGACUCCUCGUGGGAGCAAAUUUCAGGUUAGGUUUAAAAAUUAAAAAAAAUCCGGGAGCUGUUUUACCCCUCUCGGGUCGAGUUUUUAUUUGUAGAGCUUCAGGCGGGGGAUAUGCUAUUAAGGCCUGUUUGUUUCCACUAUUGGAGGAUCCAGCUUUUAAGUUCCAGCUUGUGAUCCAAAGUCCAAACAUACUAAUUAAGUAAUUAUGGUCCAGCUUUUACAAUCUACCAUGUUACCAACCCUAGAUUGUGCAAUCACACAAGCUACCUCAUCGUAGCUUUUACUAGCUUGUGAGGCAACAACCUGGGCUGGAUUCAAAACAGGCCCAAAAUUAGGCUUUAGAAAUAUAUGGGUGCAUAAAGAUACAGAAUCUCACCUGAAAAGGAGCUCAGAGUUUAUUAGGAUACACCAUUGAGCGGUUGAGCCUAUGUUAGGAGAUGUGAAGGUUCCUCUGGUUCCACUGCAACUUUCCCUAUUAAAAAUAAGGGCUCUUGUUUUCAGUUGCUUGAAAACCAAGCUUUUCCGUCAACGGAGCACCCUCUCUUCCAAAUAAACAUGGGUUAGAAUUACGGUGGAAAAAAUGAACUACUCUUCCCGCCAAUCCCUCCUAAUACCUAUGGAGUGGGGAGAAUUACGAAAUAUCCAAAUACAGACCUCGUAAGUUCAAAUCCACAGUAUGCUAGUACGAUUCUAUCAGCAGUACCAUCUUCAUCGAAUUUGAACUGACGUUUCCCGCCAUGCUUGUGCACGACGACACACAGCCAACGACUUCUGCGACCGGCUUGCCUCCGUGGGUUUCACCUCGAACCUCAUCACGUACCUCACCCUUCAGAUGCACCUGCCGCUCGUCCACGCCUCCAACAUCAUCACCAACUACAACGGCACGGCGAACCUCACCCCGCUCGUCGGCGGCCUCAUCGCCGACUCCUUCGCCGGCCGCUUCUGGACCAUCACGUUCGGCUCCUUCGUCUACCAGCUCGGCAUGGUCUGCCUCACCCUCUCCGCCGCGCUCCCCUCGCUGCAUCCGCCGCCCUGCGCCAAGCACGCCGCCGACUGCCAGCGCGCGUCCUCCUACCAGAUCGCCGUGCUCUACCUGUCGCUGCUCUGCACGUCCAUCGGCACCGGGGGCACGCGCCCCUGCACCGUGGCGUUCGGCGCCGACCAGCUCGAGCUGAACGCGCAAGGGCGCCGGGGCGCCAGGCCCAUGUGGAGCUUCUUCAACCUCUACUUCUUCACCGUCGAGCUCGCCAAGCUCACGGCCGUGACCGCCGUGGUGUACGUCCAGGAGAACGUCGGGUGGGGUUGGGGGCUCGGCGUGCCCACCAUCGCCAUGCUCGCCGCCGUGAUUGCCUUCGUGUCCGGGUACUCGCUCUACGUCAGGAUGCCGCCGGCGGGUAGCCCCAUGGUCCGUCUGGCGCAGGUCGCCACCGCCGCGUUCAAGAAGCGGAAAGCCACCGUGCCGGACCCGAGCCUCCUGUACGAGGACAAGGAGCUCGAUGCCGGCAUCUCCACCACCGGCCGCCUUCUUCACACCGACCAGCUAAAGUAAGUUGAAUAAAUUUGGACGAAGUGCUUCGGAAUUUGAGGUGCACGUACGAACUGACUUGUCGUUUCUCAAAUCUCAAUAGGUUCUUCGACAAGGCGGCUAUAGUGACGGACGGCGACGUGCUGCCGUCCGGCGAGCCGAAGCUGUGGCGGCUCUCGACGGUGCACCGUGUCGAGGAGCUCAAGUCGAUCAUCCGCAUCCUGCCGAUCUGCGCCGCCGGCAUCAUCCUGGUGACAUCGUCGUCGCACAACCACAGCUUCGCCAUUCAGCAGGCGCGCACCAUGGACCGCGACCUCACGCCGCACUUCAAGAUCCCGCCAGCGUCCAUGCUCAUCUUCACCAACCUCGCCAUGCUGCUGACACUGGCCUUCUACGACCGCGUGCUCGUCCGAGUGCUCCGCCGCUUCACCGGCCGCCCCAACGGCAUCACCCACCUCCAGCGAACGGGCGUCGGCUUGACCAUCGCCAUGCUGUCGAACGCGGUGGCCGCCGUCGUCGAGCGACAGCGCAGGUCCGUGGCUGCCGCAAGCGGGCUGCUCGACGAUCCCAAGGCCACCCUGCCGAUGAGCGUCUUCUGGCUGGUGCCGCAGUUCACCAUCCACGGCAUCGCCAACGCCUUCAUGGACGUCGGUCGGAUGGAGUUCCUGUACGACCAGGCGCCGGAGAGCAUGAGGAGCACGGCGGCGGCGCUCUACUGGCUGACCUUCUCGAUCGGGAGCUACCUCGGCACGCUGCUGGUGACCAUCGUGCACGCCAAGACGCGGCGGAGCGGGCAGUGGCUCCCGGACAACCUCAACCGAGGGAAGCUGGACAACUACUACUGGCUCGUCGUCUCUCUGGAGGUGGUCAACCUCGUCUACUUCUUCGUCUGCGUCAAGUACUACACCUUUAAGCCGUUGGAGACGGUCGGAGGAGAGGAGGAGGUCGAGCUCUACCAUGGCAGUGGCAAUGGCACCGAUGGCGCCAAGAAGCAGGGUGGAAGCUUCAAGUAGCUUGGUGGUUGCUUCGACCAUGAUCCCCAACUAGAAGACUUGUGCUGGGAUGAAAUAAUGGUAUUUAGAUAACCUUUUUGUCAUAUUACCAUAAUCUUACCGAUUCUAAGAACUUUACCAGUAGCACACUGUGUAAGGUAAUUGUUCGAGAAAUGCAGGAGUAUCUGUUUAUUCCCAGAUUUCUACGCUUGAUUUUGAUCUGUAACAUUAUACAUCACUAAUACAAGAGCAUGGAGAGUAAAGACCACUUUAGAAAGUCAGUGAAAUGAAAGAAAACCCUGCAAAAUAUAAAAUUCGAGGCAACUCAUUUCAUAUAUAAAAGAAGAAAAAUUAGGGGAUGAAACAAGAAUCUUUGGACUAUCGAUCCAACAAAAUUCAUAUAAAAAUAGAUAUGAAAUCACAUGGGAUAUUGAGCAGAUAGUAAUAUCCUAUCCAUCAAAAAAAGAAAUAAAAAUGAGAGGGGCUUCAGGUAUUUAAUCAGAAAAGACUGAAGUAAAAAAAUAAAUAGAGAAAAAGGAGUGGCUUAUAUUUAUUUUCAUGAUGCUAUGUUAUAACGUUAAACAUCACUUUGUGCUGUCGUAGUUGCCUAAAGUAGUACUGUUAUGUUUUUAAUUAUAGAGCAUUAACAUUAUGUUGCAACGGUGCAUUCGCACUUUUAAUCAUAGAUAGAGCUAGGAUUUUAGUUAAGGACAGCACACAAAUUACAUUUUUUUAGAAAAUGGAAAUAUAUCCAUCCUCUACCAUAAACAUACGCAGCCAAAUUCUCAGCUCAACAGCUGAUCAUAAAAAAAGAGAGAAAGAAUCCACAUGAAGAGAAAAUAAUCAUAAGCAAUGUCUAAUAUUACUUAUCCAUUCAUUGCUUUGCUCGUCGAAUGGACGGUAUUCCUUAUGUCCUCACGCUGCAUUGAUAAAUCAUAGUCAAUAUGUUCCCCGAGGUAACCUCUAAAGCAAUGUAGGAAGAUCACCCACGAGCAGCCGAGCAUGAACAGGGAAUGCUGAAACACCAUAUGGACAUCCAAGAUGACAUCUUCAGGAAGAACGUGACGCAAUGACGUCAUCAUCGCCAGCCCAAGUAUAGAGCUGGGUUUACACCUGGAGAUUCAAAACAUGGUCAUAUAACAGUGAAGUGAAAAUGAGAUCGCCUCCAAGGAGAAAGUGGCACCUGAAGGCGUCACCGACCAGCCUUUUGCCCAAACCUUCACCACGCCAUGCUAGCAGCAGUUGGGCAGAAAAGCACAAAAGUGCCUCACUGAGCUGCUGAUGGCGCCGAGCACGCCCACGAUUGCCAGCCAUAAUUAUCAAGAGCCAACCGCCGCCACCUCGACUCACGCCCGCCGUACUAGGGCCAAGGCCUCGACCAUGAUGCCAUGCCAAGCCCGCCAUGCCACCAGCCCGUCACACAUCUGACGAGGUCCAUGUAGGAGGGUGCCGGUCGCCAGAUCAGCUCGCAGUAGGCCAGCACAUGGAAUCCACCCCAUGGCUGAUGCCUCUGGAGUGCAAAUCUACACUUGAAGAUCCUGAAGGGGGAGGGGGAACUGGAAGGAGAGGCUUUGAGAGCCUCGCGCACUAUCUUGAGGCCUUGCCGUGCGUCACCAUUGGCGACUUGCUACCACGCCUGGCCAUUAAACGGAGUCGGAGAAAGGCCCGCCACAACCAUCCUCGCAGCUCGUCGGGCUUCUGACUUUCUGCUGUAGUGGCGGCUGAGUAAAAGCGAUGAUGGAGGACCGUGGCGGCAGGGAACGGGAGCGCCGCCCGUCGGCCCAUGUCGCCCCUGGAGCGACGUAGGGGCCUGAUCCGUUUCUUCAGUGCCCCAGCAUGCACAUUACAUAGUAGGAUAGAUAUUCUUCCUGAAUGUUACAAAAUGCUAUCAUGCUUUCAGAAAAAAUGCUACCAUGAUGGAACCCUCCCCCACAUAUACCUUCUGCCAGCCAAGGCCAAGGUCUUAUUUUAUCAUUGCCCAGCUCAUGAAUUGACUUAUGGUCUAAAUGAUAUGCAUUAAUUGCAAUCAUGAUAUAUCAGUUAAAACCAGCAUGCCAGGCGAUCAAAGGUCACAAAAAGACACCCAAGAAAAAUCCGGUCCGGCUGCUGCUGAAGAUGAAAGAAAGCUCAACAAAUGGCUACACAUGCUAAGAUUGCCCAUUUCAUCGCAGGCUUUAAAAUUUACAGAAUUUGGAGAACUCGAUCAAUGGACGUAGUGGUCAUCAAGCAGCAACCAACAUUACAUUCAGAUGCCAUUUUAUCUUGCUGCAGUGGAUGGAGAUCCUCAAUGGCGUCAUAUCAUAUCUCGACCGCUCGAGAGUAAUUGGGCGACCCUCGUGCCUCAAUGAUACCUCAAUCAACAUUUAGGAGUUAUAAUGACUUUGAGGGGUCUUUAGAGUAAUAUAUUCAAUCUCGAUCACCCGUCCUGAGGUGGCAGCUGCAAGCUUCCCAUUCCGCGAUGCUUGUCCACGAGGCAUAGAAUCCAAAACCAAUCUUGCCUUGUGCCUUUUAUAAAUGCCGUGCGUACAGGCAACAUCUCCCAUCUCAAGGGAUUGCGAGACCCGGCUGCUAGCUUCUCCUCUGAAGGAGGACGAAGAGAGCAACAACGGAGGAUGGAAGGGGCAAGGAGACGGAUUCAGUGCAGUAGAAGACGAAGCAGAAGGGCGGUUUCAGGAGCAUGCCCUUCAUCCUAGGUGACAGAUUGACUCCCUCCUUAUGCUUCUACAAAUUUUUGAGCUUCACAAAUGUUCUUAAUGAAUAAACGGGGCCUCGUAAGGAAGUGAUUCAUGUGAUUAGCUAAUUCCCAUCGGUGCUCGUAGCCUAAGAGAGGGAAUUCUUAACUUAUGGCUUCUACUAUUUGCUUCAAAACAUAAACUAGAUCAUGCUAUCUAGAUGUACCAUCUAUGGUUGAUCUAGUGAUUCUUCCAACCCAAAACAAGUUUUGCAACCUAGAGCCAAUCCUAGCAUGAUACUACUCUAGAAAGUAAAACACCCAAGUUGCAAGUAUGAAAUGCGGAAAUGUAAAUGAGUGGGUUAGGAAGAAUGCAAACUCGUCACGAUGAUUUAUCCCAUGGUAUCGGUAGGCAAAUGUCAUCCCUAGUCCAUGAUGGAGCUCCACCAAGGAUAUGCUCCUGGUCACCAAGUCUCUCCCGAUCAAGGUUUUGAACUCGCCACAAAGGCUUGUGCCAAGAUGGAUGAGAAGUUUGCCACUAAGGCAAGGCUCACCACUCCCUCUCUUCCGGUCACCUUGAUGCCGUAUCCACUAUAGAGCUUCUCCAAAAAGGAGGGGGUGUCCUCGUUCCCCGCACAUGGUCGUCGAUGCCGCUCCACACCAAGUUGGAGGGUCGAAGACUUGCUGGCGAGCCACCAACGCUCCAAGGCGCUGGCACACCUUGUACACUUGUGGUUCACACCUUGAACCAAUCACAAGGCAGGCACACCUUGCACUCUCUCCUAUCCUAGCACUAAUCAUUGUUCUAAACUUGUGCUAAGCUUUUGAUUAAUCACUUAUGCACUUUUGGUGGCUUAGAUGUGUUCUUGAUGUGUCUUGCGCUUCAAUGGACUCCUGCACACUCCAGCAACGGCUAGUUAAAGUGUACCAUCAGAUGUUCUGAUGGUAUGUAUUUUUGUAGCAUCAGAAUAAGGGGUGCUACCAUAUGUCCCUCCGUAUUUUGACCAUAACUCACAACUCCAAACUCCGAUUUCGAUGAACUUGUACUUAUUGGAAAGCUUAUGAAGUUCUACAUGAGAUUCUCUAAAAAUCUAGACCAUUCAAUCACUUUUUGAGCACCGGAUGAAUGCUAAAAAAUCCGACGGUACCAUCGGACCUUCCAGUCACCACGUCGCUACUCUUCGUAUUUUGGUCAUAACUUUUUACUUCGAACUCUGUUUUUGAUGAUCUUGUACUUGUUGGGAAGCUUAUGAAAUUCUACACACGAUUCUCAAAAAUCCAGACCUUGUGAUCAACGUUUGGCAUUGGAUGAAUGACCUAAAAGUUUGACGCAUACAAAUUUUCAAGCGUCGAACCUUUUGGUGCCCACCUCAUCCAUUUGUCAACCUCUGGAGAUUUUGACAAAGUAAAUAUGCAAACUCCGAUGGUAGCAUCGUAUGAUCCGGUGCAUGCCCUUAUAUGUUCAUCAAAUCAUCCGUUGAGUGUAUUUCAGUAAGCACCGGAUGUUCCUCUGCUUAGUCCGAUGGUACUAUCGGAACUUCCUGUGCCCAUUUUUCAGCACAUCUUAUUUUGGGCAUAACUUUCUACUUCGGAGUUCGAUUUUAAUGAUCUUGGACUCUAUGGAAAGCUUGUGAAGUACUAUACAUGAUUCUGUAAAUCCAAGCCAUUUGAUAAGCUCAAAAACAAUUAUCCAUGGGACAAGUCCAAUUCAUUCCUCUCUUUGUCCCGACUUCGGUAUCUUUCUUUGUGAUGCAUCCAUGGAACCUAUGAAACCUUAAAAGUGCUCAUUCUUGAUACACAUGUUAGUCCCAAUGAUAAUAUUGUUAUUCAAUCACCAAAAUCACAAUCAUGGCCUAGAGGACCAUUUUUCUUACAAUCUCCCUCAUUUUGGUGAUUGGUGACAACACAAUCAAAGCAAGCAUAAAUUUGUAAGAAUUGAUCAAUUGAACCACUUACAAUUGUUUGGAUGCUUACCAUCAUCCAACUUGUACUUGAUCUCCCCCUUGUUCAUUCUCAUCUUGCUUCACUUCUCUCCCCCUUUAUAUAUUUCUCUCUCUUUCUUGAAUUUCUCCCCCUAUGCAUGUUCACUUCCAUGCCUUACUUGCUUUGUUUCCACACUUUUCCCCCUUUGGAAUCAAAUCACCUAAAAGGUAAUUCCAAAUACUUGCAAUCCAAAAAGACCUUGUGAACAUAGCUCGAGGGAAAAUGUUAGUAGCCUAGGGAGAUAGUUCCAUGAACCAUGAUCCAUAUGAGAUGAUACCAAUGAAGAUACCACUUGUAAGACUAUUAGGAUGGAUCAACAAUUCAUGAAACUAGCAUGUACAAGCAAAGCUCCCCCUAUAUGCGUGCACAACAAGAUAGUGUAAAAAAUAAGUGCACAACUAGAUAUAAGAGCAAAGGAAGCUUAGAGCAUAUCAUGCAUGGAGAUCGCUUAAAAGAUCGAAGGGUUUGACAAUGAUACCAUUUGUAAAAGCUUGAGCAUUUGCAUACCUCCGGGGGCAUAUACCUUGAUGGCACCACUUGAAGCAUACCACUUGAUGGCACCACUUGAAAUGAGCCACUUGUAAAUGACAUCACUUAAAAAUGACACCACUUGUAAGAGGCUUAGAGAGAAACACAUGAGGUACCACAAGGAUGGGGAAUGUAUAAGUACAUUGCCUUUGAACUUAUAUAUGAAAUGUAAGCUCGCAAGGACAUGACUCAAUAAGCAUGAAAGCGCUCAUAUUGUUAUUAUCACUCUUAUAGGUUUGUUAGUUCACAUUGAGAGUGAAUAACAUCAUCUAAGUGUGAUGCACCAGAUGGAGAGACUACAUAAGAUAAGCUUGAAAAUAAGUUGGUCUCCAAAAUCACAAACCAUAGGAUGAGCUCCUCCUAAAUGUGUGCAUUUAGUGUUUGAAUCACAAAUUAAUUGUAUGCACAUUAUUUAUGACAACAAAAGGGAAGCUAACCCUAUAGCUUGUGCUCAUGAUACAAAGGAUAACAUAUGAAAGAGCAUGUAUCAUGAAAGAAACAAGUAUAGCUUUCCUACACACAUGUCAAACCAUGUAGGUUGCUCAUGGGUUAGAGAGAGAGAUACACAAGCAACCUACCAUAUGAAAAAUAACUAGGCAUUGCAACAUAUAUCAUAUGAGAACACAAUGCAAUCCUAUACAUGGAAAUGGAGCUACAAUGAUGCUUGAGUUGGGUUCUAGCUGCCAUUACCUUUGAAUGGGGGACUUGGGCACCAUAUGUCCAAUCUUCCAAGCUUGGCUUCUUGACUUGAACCUUCUCAUCUUCUUGUGAGUCAAGCCUCCAAAUCCCCCGUAGCUGAUCAUGGGCUUCACGUGUCCUUUGGAACCCAAACCAUUUGAGGCCCUUUCAUAUUGGUGAUGACUUCCUUAGGCACCCAAAUCGGUCAGUUCCAACCCCACUCCUUCUUCCCAACCUUCUGAGCAACCACCUUGCCAUUGGUCUUCUUCUUGAUGACAUAGGAGUUGCUCUUAGUCUUGUUCUUGCGGUUGAACUUGGUGUAGAUGAGGAAGCUCUUGAUGGUGAAGUUCAUCUUCUUCUCAUCUUUGCUCAUCUUCUUCACUUGGGGGCAUUGAUAGGACUUGUGGCCUUCUUGAUGACAUUUAAAGCAAGUCACGGUUGCUCCCUUCUCAAACUUACUCACCAUGUGAUCAUGGUUAUCUUGAGAAGGUUGAAUGUUACUCUCUUGUCUUGUGGAGUUUCAAAAUUGCCACCUUGUCCUUGCCCUUCAUUUUGGCCAAUUGCCCCAUGAGCCAUUUCACUUCUUGCUUGAGCUCAUCAUUCUUGUUUGCAAUAAGGUCAUCAUAAGAUUCUACAACAACAUUCUCAAAGGAUUUCUUAUUGCAAGGGGGUGAGCUAGAUUCCUCAAUUAAAUCAUUGCAAAAAGUUGAAGCAUCUACCUUAGAGAUGGGAAUUGCAUAAAGGAUAAAUGAUUCAUUUUGCUCCAAGGAAUUCUUAGUUUCAUUAUCAAUUCUCUCAAUUUUAGAUUUGAGCUCUUCAUGCUCCUUGUUAAGCAAGUUGAAUUUGCACAACAAAUUUUCAUAAUUUGUAGCAAGGGUAGCAUGAAGAUGAUUGAGAGCAUUGAAUUGUUUUAAUUGCUUAGAUUGUUUCUUAAGGAUUCCUUUUUUACUCAUGGUUCAACUCAACAAGAUCAUCAAUGGAAGGAGAAUCGGAUUCAUCAUCACUUACAUCGCUUUUCGUACCUCAGGCCAUUACGAAAAAGUGUGGUGAUGAUGAUGAGGGACCUUGCAUGUUGAAGCGAGUGGUGAAGUUCUUGCUUGAUUCAUCAUUUGAGCUACAAGAACUUGAUUCUCCACCACUUAUCCAUUGGACGGCAGUGAAUGCUUCAUGCUUGGGCUUCCUCUCCUUCUUCUUCUUCUUCAUUCUUUUAUGCUUGGUAUUUGUAAUCUUUAUUUGUUGAUGAUGACAUCCAUCUCUCAAGUGUACCAUGUACCCGAACAUGUUGAUCUUCUUCACAUACUUGAAGACCUUCUUGGCAUAAGCUUCAACCAUGGAUUUGGUUUCUUCAUCACUUGAGGAGCUUUCAUCAUCAUCAUCUUCUUUUUCUUCACUUGAGUUUUCACGAAUGGCCAUCUUCCUCAACUUCUUCUCUUGAUUGCUUGCCUGGGCAAGGCUUCAGGUUGGAGAAGAUGAUUCUUGGUUUUGCUCUUUGGACUUGACCAAUAGUCGCAUCUCGAAUGUCGUGAUCUUGUUUAGGACUUUGUUUGGGGUGAAGUUGGUGAGCUUCUUCUCAUAGAUGAUAGAUUUCACCAAAUUAUAGUCCGACCUCCGAAGGCUAUGGAGGAUCUUACGAUUGAGGUCCGCAUCUCCAAUCUUCUUCACACCUAAAGAAUUGAUCUCAUUCACAAGAAUAUUUAGACGUGAAUAUAUAGUCUCGGCAUUCUCAUUUUCAAGUUGCUUAAAGCUAUUGAGCUUUUCAAUGAGAACAUCAUAUUUUUCAUUUGACACAUCCUCCAUGCCCUCAUUGUUCUCUUUGAUAGUCAUCCAUAGCUUGUUAGCAUUUUCACAAGUAAACACAGAAAACACUUUCACUAAGUGAGGAUAAAAUAAUGCUCUUGGAAAUCACAUCAUGUUAUUUUUCUUAUUGCCCAUUAUUUUUCACACCCUCACUAGUGACUCUUCAAACAUUAAGGCCCGUUGCUUGAAGAAAUGCUUCCAUGAGAACUUUCCAACGUUGGUAAACCAUGCCAUCAAAACGUGGAGCCAAACUUGUUGAAUCCAUCCCUUAACCCUAUCGAGCUAACUCACUAGGCGCUGAAGCCUAACUAUUUCCAUUGAACUGGUUUCACAAUUUGCCAAUAGAAUUGAUGAUUCUUUGUGAAAGAUGUGAGCCCUAGCUCUGAUACCACUUGUAAGGAAUCAGUGCUCGUAGCCUAAGAGGGAGAGGGGGUGAAUUAGGCAAAUUUAAAAUCCUUAAUGUAUGGCUUCAACUAUUUGCUUCAAAACAUAAACUAGAUCAUGCUAUCUAGAUGUGCAAUCUAUUGUUGAUCUAUUGAUUCUUUCCACCCAAAACAAGUUUUGCAACCUAGAGUCAAUCCUAGCAAGAUACUAAUCUAGAAAGUAAAGCACUCAAGUUGCAAGUAUGAAAUGUGGAAACGUAAAUGAGUGGGUUAGGAAGAAUGAAAACUCGGCAUGAUGAUUUAUCUCGCGGUAUCAAUAUGCAAAUGCCACCCCUAGUCCACGUUGGAACUCCACCAAGGAUAUGCUCCCGGUCAUCAAGUCUCUCCCGGUCAAGGAUUUGGACUCGCCACAAAGGCUUGUGCCAAGACGGAUGAGAAGUUUGCCACUAAGGCAAGGCUCACCACUCCCUCUCUAUUGGAGGUAUGCCCUAGAGGCAAUCAUAGAGAUGAUGAUAUUCCAUUGUGUUCAUGUUUUAUAUUGUGUUCCUUGAAUAUCCAUUAAAUGCUGCUUGAAUUGAUUUGCAAUUAUGUAAAUUGUGUGUGAAACUCUUUACUUGUAUGUUUAUUCUAAAAGUUGUCCCUAGUCGGAGUUCAUUUGAGGACACACAUGAAUAUUAGACUAGCACAUGUAUUAGUUAAUAACUAUGUUUCAUAAGUCAUGGACAUGGAGAUGUCAAACUAAUAAUGUGGGCACGUGUAGAGACAUGUGCUAGGACUGACCCAACACGAGUUACAUAGUUCUCUCUUUACACAAUGUGUACGCUUUGUCCUUAGACCGGAGAUUAUCGCAUGUACUCAAGAUGUGGAUCGACUUACUUAGGGGCUAUCGAACGCUACAUCGUAACUGGGUAGUUAUAAAGGUAGCUUUCGGGUUUGUCAAGAACUAUGCUAUGAGGCAUGGUCAGUCAAGAUGGAAUUUGCCCCUCUCUAUUUGAGAGAGAUAUCUCUGGGUCCCCUUGAGUGAUCGGAUCUGAAAAUGUAUGGCCAUGCUACGUGAGGUUAAGAAUUAACCUAGAAAGGGAUUCCGAAUCACAGCAUCGAGAAAGAGUGGUCGACUUGGAGCUAGACCGAAUAUCGUGAGGCAAAGGGAAGAGCAUGUAUGUGAUGUUGUGAUGGUUCGUCUGAUAUGAUCUUUGUGUGCGUAUAGGAGUUAGUAUGGCCGAGUAGGAGUACUCGGGCCAUGUGUAUACAUAUAUGAACCUGUAGGGUCACACACUUAAAGGGUUGGAAGUCCAAUUCGGAUGUGAUAUGAAUUGGACCAGGUUUAGUAGUACUUAUGGGCCUCGGACCCAGAGGCCCGUUAGGAACCCCUAUAUAUUGAGGGGUGGGGGCACCCUAGGGUCAAAUCCUUUUCGCACCAGCAGCAGCCACGCAUCCCAUGCCCUCACCUUGUUGCAACUCAAGGACCUAGCAAUCCGACUUGCGACGCUUCCUCCCGCAUGUGUGGAUACCUUGGAGGUGUUGCAUCUACAGCACUUGGAUGAGCCGCUGCACGAGAGCUCCGACAAGGAACUUGAUGAGUCGAUGACGAGCCAACAACGAGCCUGACGAGCCGCGGCAUGAGGAGGGAGUUGCUGCACGUGGACGAGCUGCUGAGGAGCUGCUCAACGUCGACGUGUUCGUCUACAUUACGUCGACGUGUGAUCAACUUCGUUGCCCUGACGUGUAUGUACAACUUCCGCACUUGUGCGUCGAGUGGUAAUCCCGUGAUCUAUAAUGACAGUUUUUUUCUUGGUUUACGUGGUAGAAAUUUUUGUUUUGCGCUAGCGUAGCCUACCUCGUAUCCCAAUACUCUCUUCCAGUUACCAUGACACCGUAUUCAUUACAGAGCUUCUCCACGAAGGAAGGGGGUCUCCUCGUCCCCCGCACACGGUCGUUGACGCUGCUCCAUACCAAGUUGGAGGGUUGAAGACUUGCCGGCGAGCCACCAAGGCUCCAAGGUACCGGCACACCUUGCACACUUGUGGUUCACUCCUUGAACCGAUCACAAGGCAGGCACACCUUACACUCUCUUCUCUCUAGGCCUAUCCUAGCACUAAUCACUCUUCUAAACUUGUGCUAAGCCUUUAAUCAAUCAUUUAUACACUUUUGGUGGCUUGGAUGUGUCCUUGAUGUGUCUUGCACUCCAAUGGACUCCUGCACACUUUAGCAACUUUAAAUGGGCAAGUGGAGGGGGUAUAAAUAGCACAAGACAUCAAAGAGCCGUUAUUCCAACGGUCAGUUAAAGUGUACCAUCGGAUGUUCCGAUGGUAUGUAUUUUUUGGCAUCGGAAUAAGUAGUGCUACCGUAUGCCCCUCCAUAUUUUGGCCAUAACUUCCAUCUUCAAACUUCGAUUUUGAUGAACUUGUACUUGUUGGAAAGCUUAUGAAAUUUUACACAAGAUUCUAUAAAAAUCCAGACCACUCAAUCACUUUUUGAGCACUAGAUGAAUGCUAAAAAUUCAGACGGUACCGUCGGACCUUCCGGUCACCACGUCGCUAGUCUUCAUAUUUUGGUCAUAGUUUUUACUCCGAACUCCAUUUUUGAUGAUUUUAUACUUGUAGGAAAGCUUAUGAAAUUAUACACUUGAUUCUAGAAAAAAUCCAGACCUUUUGAUCAACUUUUAGCAUUGGGUGAAUGACCUAAAAGUCUGACGCAUGCAUAUUUUCAAGCGUCGAACCUUCCAGUGCUCCCCUCACCCAUUUGUCAACCUCUCUGGAGAUUUUGACAAAAUAAAUAUGCAAACUCCGAUGGUAGCAUUGGAUGAUCCGAUGCAUGCUCUUGUAUAUUCAUCAAAUCAUCCAUUAAGUGUAUUUUUGUAAGCACCGGAUGUUCCUGUUUUUAGUUUGGUGGUACCAUUGGAACUUCCGGUGCCUAUUUUUCAGCACAUAUUAUUUUGGGCAUAACUUUCUACUCCGGAAUUCAAUUUUUAUGAUUUUGGACUCUAUGGAAAGCUUGUGAAGUAUUAUACAUGAUUCUAUAAAAAUCCAAGCCAUUUGAUCAACUCAAAAAUAAUUAUUCAUGGGACAAGUCUAAUUCAUUCCUCUUUUUGUCCCAGCUUUGGUAUCUUUGUUUGUGAUGCAUCUAUGAAACCUAUAAAAUCCUAAAAGUGCUUAUUCUUGAUACACAUAUUAGUUCCAAUGAUAAUAUUAUCAUUCAAUAAUGAAAAUCACAAUCAUGACCUAUACGACCAUUUUUCUUGCAUCCCGGCCUUAGAUUCCUUGUGUUACUCCAUCCGUUCUCUGUUUCUCGAGCUGGGUGCCUGCAGAUGUGGUUUUCCCAAACUCUUUUCCUUCACGGGUCAUGCUGUGAAAUAAUAACUUAACAUGCUGAUAAGAUAUUAGGCGCAUCUCGGAUGUAGAGAUUAAUAAUGAUAUCACUGCUGCAGUCUGUCAACUUAACUUUGGAGUGCAAAUUUGUAACAAAGAAAAACAUGCCUUAUCCCUGGGGAAAUAAAUGCUUAAAAACCUUUCUAGGAGAUCAAGGAGGCGAUAUUGUAUAACCACGUAUACUUUCGAGGUCAAACUUUAUGUUACAUAUGAAAUUGGCAGAUAGAAAAGAGAAAGACAAAAUGAUCUUGGAUGAAUAUGUCCCGUGCUUAGGUGCCUAGACACAUAAUCUUAAACUAAGUCACACACAUUUUGAAAGCUUAUCCAAUAUGAAAAAAAGGCAUUUAGCUGUGUUCUUUUUAGAAAACAAAUAGGAAAAUCUUGGUCCAAUAACCACUAAACAAAAUGAAGGUAUUGAUUAUUAAACCAAUUCAAAUCAAGAAGUACUUCGCAAGAUAUCAAAUCAAGGAGUACUCAUAUAUGCGUGACAUUUCCCACCAUGUCUUUACACUACGACAGCGAACGACUUCUGCGACCGGCUUGCCAAUGUCGGGUUCAGCUCGAACCUGAUCUCAUACCUCACCCUCCAGCUGCACCUGCCGCUCGUCGAGGCCUCCAACAUCAUCACCAAUUUCAAUGGCACCGCCAACUUCACCCCUCUCAUCGGCGGUCUCAUCGCCGACUCCUUCGCCGGUCGCUUCUGGACCAUCACGUUCGGCUCCGUCAUGUACCAGCUCGGCAUGGUCUUCCUCACCCUCUCCGCCGUGGUCCCCUCGCUCAGCCCGCCGCCCUGCGCCAAGGACGCCACCGACUGCCCGCGCGCGUCGUCCUCCCAGGUCACCGUUCUCUACCUGUCGCUGCUCUGCACGUCCAUCGGCACCGGCGGCACGCGCCUCUGCAUCAUGGCGUUCGGCGCCGACCAGCUCGAGCUGGACGCGCACGGCAGGCCCCGGGAGGCCAAGCCCAAGUGGAGCUUCUUCAACAUCUACUUCUUUGGCAUCGAGCUGGCGAAGCUCACCGCCGCGACCGCCGUGGUGUACUUCCAGGAGAAUGUCGGGUGGGGGUGGGGGCUCGGCAUCCCAACCAUCACCAUGCUCGCCGCGGUGAUCGCCUUCGUAUCCGGGUACUCGCUGUACGUCAAGAUGCCGCCCGGCGGAAGCCCCCUGGUCCGGUUGGCGCAGGUCACCGCUGCGGCGUUCAGGAAGCGGAAAGCCGUCGCGCCGGACCCGAGCCUCCUGUACCAGGACAAGGAGCUCGACGCCGGCAUCUCUACCACCGGCCGCCUUCUCCACACCGAUCAACUAAAGUAAGCUAAAUUAAACUCUUAUUACAUGUGUCAACUCAAACGUGAUGAAAAUAAGGGUCGGUUGUUUUGUUUUGUUUGAACGAGCUGACUAGCUAGUAGCUACUUUACUUGUGCAGUUGUGCUCGCUAGGUUCUUUGACAAGGCAUCCAUAGUGACGGCCGGCGACAUGCUGCCGUCCGGCGAACCAAAGCUAUGGCGGCUGUCGACCGUGCACCGCGUCGAGGAGCUCAAGUCGAUCAUGCGCAUGCUGCCGAUCUGGGCGGCCACCAUCCUCCUGAUGACUUCGGGGUCGCACAACGGCAGCUUCGCGAUCCAGCAGGCGCGCACCAUGGACCGCGGCAUCACGCCGCGCUUCAAGAUCCCGCCGGCCUCCAUGCUCAUCUUCACCAACAUCACCAUGCUGCUCACCCUCACCUUCUACGACCGCGUGCUCGUCCGCGUCCUCCGCCGCUACACCUGCCACCCCACCGGCACCACCCACCUCCAGCGCACGGGUGUCGGUAUGACCCUUGCCAUGCUGGCCAACGCGGUGGCCGCGGUCGUGGAGCGGCGGCGCAGGUCCGUGGCCGCCGCGAGCGAGCUGCUGGACGCGCCCAAGGCCACCGUGCCGAUGAGCGUCUUGUGGCUGGUGUCGCAGUACGCCAUCCACGGCGUGGCUGACGCCUUCAUGGACGUCGGCCGCAUGGAGUUCUUGUAUGACCAGGCGCCGGAGAGCUUGCGGAGCACGGCGGCGGCGCUGUACUGGCUGACCAAUUCAGUGGGGAGCUACCUCGGCACGCUGCUGGUUACAAUUGUGCACGACAAGACGCGGCGGAGCGGGCAGUGGCUCCAGGACAACCUCAACCGAGGGAAGCUUGACAACGACUACUGGCUCGUCGUGGCAUUGCAGGUGCUCAACCUCGUUUACAACUUCGUCUGCGUCAAGUACUAUACAUGCAAGCCAUUAGAGACGACCGGGGAUGACAAGGAGGUGGAGCUCGACUGUGUCAGUGGCAAUGGUGAUGAUUACGCCAAGAAGGGUGCAAGUGCAAGCAAGCUUCAGGUAGCUUAGGGUGUACUUCGAUGGCGUCGUUUUCUUCAUACCAUGAAUUGCCGAUAUUUUGUGGAAAUAGUGUUUGCAGAAAUUUUUUCAGAAAUGUACAUGCUUAUGCCCUCAAAUCGCUGUAUGCCUGAUUUGAAUAUGCAAGGUUUAUGUGACAUGUGAGCUUUGUUUAGAAAGGGAUACGAAUUCUUAAGACACAUACAGUUCGAAGUUAAAAAUUGUAGUGCAAAUCAUCUUCCAAACAAGUGCAUCUGCUAUUCUGAGACCAAUCGUCAGGGGACAAGCUUGACAGUGGUACUAAAAUUGCUAGGCUGCACCGGAAGAAUCUUAUCUUACUUACAAGGCUUCUUUUGAAACCUUCGUGUGAAUCCACGUAGGAAUUCUACGUAGACACUCUAGAAAAAUAGAGAAAUUCUAGAAAUUCUCUCAAAAAAGCAAAACACGUAACCAUCAAUUCGAUACCUCAAAUCAUCAUAUCAUAUCUUACUAAUUAGAGGCUUCUUUUGAAGUCUUCACGUAAAGCCACCAAGGAAUAUUUUGUGGACGCUCUAGAAAAAGAGAAAAAUCCUAGAAAAUCUAAAAAAAACAAAACAUCUAGCCAUCAAUUCGUUACCUCAAAUCAUCAUAGUCAUUGGAUCUAUUAUACUUUCUAAAAACCUACCCACCUAUGCUAUUAUAAAAUUAGUCUAAAGUAACCCCUAAAUCUAUAUCUAAAUUAUCCAGUGCUACCAUUAUGAAAAUAGCCAAAAGUAACCUCUAAAUACAUAUAUAUCUAAAUUAUCCACCUCUAUCAUUAUAUAAAAUAAACUUAAGUAACCCGUAAUAUUCCUUUAAAUUAACCACUAACUCCAUAUAAAAAAAUAAUCUCCUAAAUUUGCAUAUAAAUUGCCAACCACUAACAUUAUAAAAAAUAACUUAAAGUCACCCCUUAAAUUUGCAUCAAAAUUACCACAUAUGCUAAUCAUCUACAUACCACAGUGUGGGACUAUGGGUUGCUGAAUUUGGCAGAGAUAUACUGCAAGUAUAAAAUUGGUAUACCGAGAAGAGGCUCGAAGCUAAUGUUGCGCUAAGGAAAUCCCAUGAAUUUGGCCCAUACGCUUCGAAGAAGUUCCCACGAAUGGGCUCAGAGUUAUAAAAUGGUGGAGCCCAUCACAAUCUUCGUCCAGCCAGAUGACAAGCCACGCCACCGACCCGACCCAACCCAUUCCUUACGCAGCUCAAUGGCCACCCCCUUUCCUUCCCCCACUCCAACCACCCUCUCCAUCUCCAAUGCCUUCCAUCCAGCUAUAUGUCUCGUGGCACCACAAGUGUACAAGAAGGCACGGAGGGCCUCCACCACCACCUCAUCCCACCGCUGCUCUUGCUCAUCCUCCUCUCCGAAGCAGCAGUAACCACACAGUAGUGCGAACCCACCACCUCACCAUCGAGAUAGCCUGCUUCUGCUCAUCCGACUCUGACAUGCCCACAAUACCCUGCUGUGAGCGGGUCGUUGCGUCUGUCAACAACGGCAACAGCAUCCCUUACCUCUGCCAUGUGGCGUCGCAGCAUUAGAUCUUCCUCGCCUGCCUCAAUGCCUCCCACAUCAUGUCGCUCUACACCGGCUGUCAAGGACUAUGCACUAAUGGUGCCCACCUUGCCCCCCUAUCUAGGUAAGUAACGCAGUUCUGGAGCUUGGGAGAUGUCUGUGUACCCAACCUGCUUUCUAAUCUUAUUCUCAAAGCCAUUAACGAAUGUUUCCUGCAGGUCCACUACUUUCUAUCAUCACCCUGCGCCCCCAAUCAUACUUCUCCACGAGCAACGAAGAGCAAACAUGUACGAACCUCCCUCACAUAUGCUCCUCUUGUAAUUAUUACUUUGCAAACAUUGGGUGCUUCAAUCAAGGAUGAUGCGAUCAGAUUAAUAUGGGCUUUAAUUGAUUAUGUGAUUCGAUUCAACAAGUAGCUUUGAUUCAAAUCAUGCUCUGUAUUUAGGCAGACUGGUUGAAUUUGAAGCUGGAGUUGAGCGGGAGAAAUCUUUAGUUUAACAAUAGAUGAUAGUGUGAAUAUAGGGAAGUAACAUCAAUGGACAAACUUCAUCUUCUAUUUACUCCAAAAGGCACCAGUAUAUGUUGGCAAAUUCACCAUACACACACGCGACAUUGAAUGACAACCUUCUUAGCUUAUGAGAGGGUGUCCAAUUGUUAGCUUAAACUAGCUAUAAGGUUGCUGAUGUCAUCUAUAGAUUAUCUUAAUCUGAUUUGAACCAAGUCUAGUUGAGAUGAUUUUUGAAGAAUUGCUUUGACUACACCAUCUACUCAUGCAUUUUUCAUCUUUACAUAACUGACACUACUUGCAUAUGAAUUGAUGCAAUAUUGUCAUCAAAACAUGAGAAUUCCAACUCCUAGAUGCUUCGCAAGUGUGCUAGAUCAUGGAGGCAAAAAUUAUUUGUGCUUUGUGGUAGAGACAGAAAACAUGGUGGUCUCAAAAUUAGAUGUGGGUGUGAUUUGGGACUUCUACAAACAGUGUGGGGGAAGACGUUAGUCUACCAAACAAUAGAGGUGACUGCGACCACGUGCCAUCACCACUACCGCCACCCCAGCUGCCUCCACCGCUGCCUUCUCCCAAGAUGCACCAUGCAAUUUUAGGUUGGAUACUUAACGUUUGAUCAUUUGCUGAUCUUGGAUUGCAUAGUGAGCUGAAGUGUGUGAUAGAUUUUUCUACUAUCAUGUAUUGUAGUUGUCAAAUUGGUAAAAAUGGAUAUCUACCAUCAAAACAAAAAAUAUAUGGGUAUUUACCAUCAAAAGAAUCGGACUUGGAUAUUUACCAAGGAAAGGUUACACGUUACAACUUUGUAGCAUUCCGUUGGCUUCCGUUCGUUGGAUUAGUAGUCUUUCUUUUUUUUUACUGAUUAACAGUUGCAGGAUUCCAAUUGUUCCCUUGGCCAAUUCCCUCAUGCCCGCUCCUUGGCCCGGUCCACAGCAGCGACACCCACACGCAUGCGAUGCGUGAAAGGAGCAGGGCAGGCGACCAAUGGUGCGCUCGCCCACAACUUUCCUGGUGGCGCACUCCCCCGCGGCCACUCGGGUCCCAAAUGGUUGUGGCCUCCUCCACCCCCCCCUCCACGGUGUGCAUCUCCCUCCUCUUCUUCCUCCCUUACUUUGAAAGUUAUAAACCCUAGAGUUUUCUUCUCUCUCGUAGUGCUUAGGAAUCGGUCCAAAAUUGAGACAUAUGGAUCCUGCUGAGGUUCUUGAAGAGUAAUAACAUUUUCCUCUCGGUUGAAUCUAUGCAAUUUCUUCCAAUUUGUACCUAAUUUGUUGGUUUGAGAGGGGGAUGGGGUGAACAGAUAGCCUUGAAAAGGGAAUAAAUGAGUGGAUUAGCAUUGAAAUUGUUAUCGAUUGGUCCUUACAUUUGAUCUCCGUUCCAUGUGUUUGUCGUUGUUGUUGCAGUAUUGAUCCGAAGAGUGCAUGUAGAGUAGAGAUCUCUGUCAACUCUUACUUCUCUGUAAGGGAUGGUCGAAAGGAAUAGAGUAAGCUUUGUUGUUGAUUUAGAAGCAUACUCAAUCAUUGAUCUAGAGACAGAUAUUGCUUCUAAAUUUAAAUGGGGUAGCAAUCAGCAGGCAAAUUUCUAGGUUGUAAUAGGGGGUAAUAUGACAUGCAAUUUGGCUUCAGAUGCGCAACUUCUUGACUUGUUAAGGACAUAUAGAGUAUUGAAGUUGUUCAUGGUAGUCGGCACACGUGAACACAAUGUAAGCGAGGAGCAGAUGCCUGCUGCAGUGAACAUUGGAGAAGAGCAGAUGCCAAUUGCUUUGAACAUGGGAGCGGUGAUGCCUGCUGCAUUGAACAUGGUAGAGCAGGUGAUACCUGCUGCAAUGUACAAUGAUUUGGAUGUUUCAGAUGGAGGAUUUGCAUGGGCAGAAGUACUUGAAUAUGGUGAAACAACUGCAGGUCCACCAAUGCAUGAAGAGGAAGAGUAAGAGCACUUCAUCAUUGGUGGGUGCGAUCCUAAUGGACAUGAGCUUGCUGGAGGAGAUGAAGAGUGAAGGUACUUUAAAAGUGUUGAUCAUGUAGUUAUUGAUCCAGUUGAAAAUCUUAAAGUUGAGGUGCAGAAAACAAAGAGGGCAAGACCUAUUCAACAAAUUAGAGACUUUAAUAAUGAAGUUGUUCUUGAUGAUUUUAUUGUGCCUCGCACAUCACAUGAUGAAGAGAAUCCAAUCAUUAAGGUGGGAGACACAAUUGUAGACAAGGAUGCUUUUAUCCACACUAUCAAACAGUAUGCCAUCAGAAAUGAGUUUGAGACUAGGCUUGAACAUAGUAACAGGGAAUGGUACAGGGCAAGGUGCAGAUGAAGAUUGUGAAUGGAGAGUAUUUGCAAAGAAACUACAUGGUGGUAACACAUUCAUGGUCAUUUUUCUUUCUUUUUAACUUCUAUAUUCCCUCACAUAUUUGAAAUUGUGAUUAGAUAAAUGCAUUUCUUUAUACUAUUUUUUUUUUGCUUCUUUCUUUUCAGGUGGCCAAACUCUCGGAAUUGGAUGUGCAUACUUGUUCCAGUACAAGCAAGAUGAAGGGGCGAGAGGCUUCCAUAGCUUGGUGAAAGAUGUUGUAAAAUAAGAUCAUACUUUGGGUGCAAAGAAAUUACAGAAAAGAUUUGAGAAGCACUACAAUAUUCAGUUGUCAUACUAUAAAGUGUGGUAUGGCAGCACGUCUGCAACUACUUGGGAGGAGAGCUUCAAAAUGUUAUGUAGGUUCAAAUCAGCACUAGAAGAUUCAUGUCCAGGAAGCAUUAUUGAGAUUGAUUGCAAGAGAAUUAAUGGGAAAAUGCAUUUCUCCAAGAUGUUUGUAGCUAUUAGAGCUUGUGUUGAUGGAUUUCUGGCUAGGUGCAGACCUUUCCUUGGGGUUGAUUCCACUCACCUAACUAGGAAGUAUAAAGGACAGGUAGCUACAACAAUUUCAAUUGAUGGGCACAAGUUGAUGUAUCCAGUUACAUAUGGGAUAUUUGGCAAAGAGACAAAAUCCAGCCGAGCAUGGUUCAUGGCAUAGCUGAAAAGAGCAGUUUCUUCUAAGAGAUAUAAACUGUUGUUUAUUGUUGUGUUGGCUUCUAAUACAUGAAUGUUAUCUUCUAAAGAGAGCAUCUUCUUAUGUUCAUUCUAUUUACAUUCACUAGUUUUAUAUUUGAUUUUAUUAAAUAUUAAAUCCCUCAUGCAAUAAUCCAAGUAUCAGAACUAGAGGCUCACUACCAUGUUGAUUUAUAUAUAGGUGCCAAGUUUCAUAACUCAUAUUGUCCUACAUACUCCUCAUGUAGAGGCUCACUACCAUGUUGACUUAUACAUGUAGGUACUUAAAUUUGAUAACUGGUUGUAUAAGUCCCUCAUUCACCACUAGAACUCCUAGUCAUGAUAUAUUUCUCUCAAAAAAGUAGUAAAAGCAAAAGCAUGACUUCAAGAUUAAUGAAUACAAACUGGAGACGUGUGUAGGAUUCAAUAUCUAUACACCUACUACGAUAUUGUGGACUGUCCAUGUGGUUAGAUAUGGAUGGAUGAUAUGAUGACCUACUAUUUAAAUAUUUAUUGACAUUUUUUGUUUCAAAAGUAAGAUAAAUUGGGGAAAUAUCUUCGUAUUAGUUAGAUAUAAUUUUCAUAUGUAAUCCAAUUAGAUCUAAUGUUUGGUAACCCAUGUGACAUGUAACGUGGUUUUUUCAUAUGUGAUCCUAUUAACGUUAUUCCCAUACCUGAAAUAACGUGACAUUGGUUCCUAGGGUUUUGUUAUUGCUCCCUUACCUUACAUGCCACAUCAGUAUGCGGCAACAUUAUAUUCACUCCUAAGUCAUCGAAUGGUAAUGCUACAUCAUACUGCAUGGAUCGGAUCGGCUGGAUACAGAUCAUGUCAAGGAGGCAACAAACUAGGCUAGGGUGGUUUCCUCCUUUUUAGCUGCUUGGUGCUUGUUUGUCAUUCAACAUUUAUGCAUAUGUACUAAACAUUUGCUGCUUGGUGAUCCUUUUCCAUUCAACAUUUAUGUAUAUGUACUAAACAUUUAUAUCAAUCAAAUCAUCAUGUGUUUGCUCCAACUAUCCAUGCUUUAAGUGAGAUGUAACUUGUUGUUUUCCUAAAGAAUACGUACUUUCAAUGAGAUGUAUGAUGUUGUUUUCAUAAGACUUAUUAUUGAGCCAAUUGCGCCUAGCAUACAACAAUUUGGUAGGUGGGUGUAAAUUGGUCCUACAACUAUAAGCUGCUCAUUUUGUGUCAACAACUUGUGAAUUGGUAUAUUUAGGGUCCAAAUAUUACUAGCAUGACAACGUACAUGUUAGCCUAUUAGGCCAUAGGGUUAUUGUUAGGUUUAGUCCCACAUCAAAAAUUGAUGGUGGGAGAGCACAAUAUAUAGGUGGGGGCAGCCCUUACCCAUCAGGCUAGUCUUUUGGGUUGAGUUAGGUCCAAGGCCUUAUUGUUGUGGGCUCCAGUGGACCUCGGCCUGAUGGGGUGCCGGCUCAUGGGUAUAGCGAGCUAGGCCAAAAUCAUCCAGGCCAAAGGUUGGAAAACCUGGAACAUCUCCGGGGUCACAUGGUGACGGGGGAGCCUGUGAACAUCUCUGAAGGGUCACACGGUGUUGAUGUGAUUGGAGAGUUGGAUUCGGGGCAUGGGAUAACCUCUUCAGGAGAUCACAUUGGUUGUAUGUGAUGGAAGAGUGGGCCCGAUGUGUGACGGAGGAGAUUGUUAGGUUUAGUCCCCCAUCGAAAAUUGAUAGUGGGGGAGCACAACAUAUAGGUGGGGCCAUCCCUCACCCAUUAGGCUAGUCUUUUGGGUUGAGUUAGGCCCAGGCCUUGUUGUUGUGAGCUCCGAUGGACCUAAGCCUGGUGGGACACCAGCUCAUGGGUAUAGUGGGUCAGGCCGGGAUUCCGCUGCACACUCUAAUAGUUAUGGUGAGUUUACGGCACAAACCUUGCGCUUGAGGCUAGUGGUCAACAAUUUAGCACUGUAAAUUAGUAGGUCUAAUGUUAAGGAUUGAGAUGUCGCCUAUAGGAGAUGAAUAGGAAAAUUCCUGCAAUUAAAAAACUUAUGGUUUUGUGCAGGAGACCCAACAAAAUAUGCACAAGCCCCUUUCUGAGUUUUAACCCAAAACAAACUUAAAGAUAAGCUUAUGUACAUGUUUUUUUAGUAGGUUCACUAGGUCCUUGCAUACACAAGACAAGCAUACUCAAGUAGAUGGAAGCGAAAGUUCGAGUAAUGAAUAGAAAUGAACAAAUAAGGCAAACCAAAUUGAACACUACACAAACUUUACAAUUCCAUUAAGGAAGCUUAUAGCGAACCAAGGGUCAAGCUAUGUCUUGAAUCCACUAGUUGACCUUUUUUCCUUGUGUAGGAAAGAUCGUAUACCUCACAAACUUGCCCACGGCUUACCACAAGCUUGGGAGCUUGCUAGGUGAUGUCUAGCCAUCUAGGAGGCUUCACCUCCAAGAGUGAAAAUGCUUAAUGGGUUGCUUGUCUUCAACCACAAGACCUCAAGGCUUUAUAGAACAUAAUCUCUCUCCCAGCCUAACUCAAAUAUUUCACUCAAAUCACAUAAGUCUCACACAGAGAGGUUGGGAGAGCCCCACUAGUGUUAUAAAGAGUCUAGGAUGAGCAAGAACCAAAAACAACCACCCAUCCACCAAAGAAGGGACCAAGGAGUAUUUCAAGACAGCAAACUAAUCAUUGGAAGUCAACAAAAUUAGCCACACCAAUUUCCCAAACCGGCCAGGCUAGUUUUUUAAACCAACUAGCAAUUACCCAAGAAACCCUACUGAAACUGAUCACGCCAAUUUUGGCCAAGUAGCCACAUUUUGUCUCCUAAGAAGGGGUUUACUUGAUGACUAUCUCACAUAGGUCGACUAUCGGCACUUUUGGUGUUGUAAUCCAAAUGUUGCAUCCCUCUUAAUAUUAUGGCAUAUCUAUACUUAAGAUUACAUAAAAAUAGCACUUUGACCACUUGUGCUUGUAUGACUUCAUUUAUGUUGAUACUUGACCAUACCAUUCUCAACCUUAGGGAUUUCAAUAUUGCAUAAAACCUGAGCAUAUCUUGAUAUCCACCUUGAGCUAGUGAUUUAGAACCAUAGUUAAAAAAAACCAAACUGGGACACCGGGAGGACUGGAAAAACCGUGAACACUGGCGACUCUGCCGGUUCGCUCCGAGUAAAAAAUUGGAUCCAAAAGGCAUAUUAUAUGCCAUAUUGGGCUGAAAGCUGGCCCUAUGGAGCAACUACAAGGUUCUAACUAGAAAGCUCAGUGAAAAUGAGGAGAAAGGUGGAGCGAUCGGGUUUGGACCCUGCCUGGUUACUCCGAAUCCCGCUCUCGUACCAAUAUUGUAUAGAUUCCAAACGUGAAUGGCGAGGGUAUACAUGAACUAUAAUUUUUAGUGAACAACUAUUUGACCGGUAGACCAAAUGGUCAGACCAGUAAACUGGUGAACCACUAGCAUCACCGGUUCAAUCACAGGUGUGGAUUGUUGUUAUAUAUAUGCUUAGAAUCUACCAACAUAUAUGAUCAGUGUCACAGUUUUCAUCCAUAACAUAAACCACUUCAUCAUUUGAUCCCGCAAAGAUUUCAUGCUUUGCAUUGCUUCACUACAUUAGUAUCUCCAAGUACAGUAAAGCAUUCGUCACUUGAACUACCAUUUCUUAGAACCUCGUCGUUAAUCCCUGGUUUCACUUCUUCACCCAAUCUUGCCAACUUGAGUAAACCUUUCUUUGACAUCAAUAAUAAAAAAAUCCACUGGAUUCCAUAACUUCAUUAUUCGAUCAAUCUUUUGAUUUUUUGCUUCGCAAUUUAGUAUUUCAUGACUUGUCAAUAAACCUUCCAAUUUAUGAUACCAUCGACAAAGCAUGAACCCAAGUCUCUUGACCAUGUAUAUUUGCUUGCUACUUUUUCUUCCUUUUGUCAUAUAGGAACUCACAUUUCUUCAAUUAAGGUCAUUAUCUUCAAUUUGAUAUCCCAUGAAUCAACAACAAGGAUUUACACUAUUGGGACCAUCCAAUACACAUAUUACUCUAGAUGAAAUGAUAAUAAUGUUUUCUUUCAUAGUCAUUUAAUUUGCUUGUCGUUCAUUAUUUUGCUUUAUGGAAUCAGACACUUACUUGCAUAUAUCAAUAUGACCCAUCAAAUAAUUGACUAAAUUCAUGGUCAAAGUUUUACCAAACAAGUUUUUGCUUUUAUUGCUUUGUUAUUUAACUCACCAAAACCCCCUUAGCAGCCUAGAUGCACUUUCACAUCUUAAAUCCCUAUCUAAAUUACUCAUCCCUUCCAUUAUUGAAAAUAUCCUAAAGUAACCCCUCAAUUUUCAUCUAAAUUACCCACUUAUGUAAUUAUAAAAAUAAUUUAAAAUAACAUCUUAAAUUGGAUCUAAAUUAUCCACAUUAGAAAUAAGAGCUUUGUUACAAUGCUUUUAAAGUACCGGUACUUGCAGGUACUUUCCUUUCUUAUCCUUCCUACCAAAAAAGAAUUAAAUAGAUUUACACAUAAUUAAAAGGGCAUCAUAGUGUGGCGGAACCACCCAAAUUAACCUGACUAAAAUGCAUUGAAGUCGCCUAACAUGCACUUUAAGCAAGUCAACUUGGUCGACCGUCGGAUUUCAUCCGAUUAACCACAUGAACAGGAAGGUGAGUAGCACAGAGGUUACAACAUUCCAUCACAUAACUUAGUCUCUCGAAUUAUUACAUCAGAGUUCUGAAAUUCAAAAUAAGAUGCAAGGUUCGAAAAGUCAAAUAAAACAAGCGGAAGCUAAACGUCGAUACAUGACAUCACGACGGAGCCGAUCAUGACAUGAAAAAUCCUUCCCUCGCCGUCCGAGGAGGGAUCCCACUCGACUGUCCAGCCCGGAGGGAGCUGGGUAGGCCAGGUGGUACCAGCAACCAAACUAUUGACAUCACCUGAAAAGAUUAAGCCACAACAAGGCUGAGCAACUAAUACUCAGCAAGACUGACCCGUCGGGUGAUAGCUAUUUUCACCAAAACUUAGACAUGAAAGGCUUUCUGGCUUUGGGUUUGCUUUGUCAAAAGCGUCUAUAGUCGGUCCUUACUUUCAAUAUUUUAGCUCAUGUUCUACGUUCUUUAUCCAGUCUAGAUUAGCAACUAUUCUAAGCAAGCAUAGUUUCCAAGCAAUUUAUGACAAGCAUUAACUUAACCUUGUAAUCAUGUUUCAUCGUUACUCAGUGCAGAAUAGCGAUCAAGUAGUCCCAAACUGUGAGAGGCAGACGAAUCGAUUCGAAUUUAUUAACCAUGCAUGGCAAACCUAAUCUCACGACAUCCGCGCACCACGAAGGGUCGCUUCAUUUGUCAGCCGUCCCCAUCGAUCCCUUAGGCUCGUGUCAGGGCCAACUGCCUUUGGCAUGCAAUGCUCCAUAAUCCCGGCCUCUGCCGUACUAUGACCGUACUUGCACCCAUAUGAUGCACCAUGGGAACGACGUUCCAAGGACAGCCGGAGGGUAUGCCACGCCCCAGUUCAAUCAGAUACUAGGCUUCCCCAUCCCAUACUAGGUAUGAGAUUAGUACUUUCAAACACUUGAUCACGAAUGCCCACACGUUUCGACCUUAGAUCAAUUUCAUUUAGACAGACGGGGGAAACCACCAAGCGUCGAACAUAAGCCCAACCCCGUCUGUCGACCUUAUAGUUGCAACAUAAAUAAAACAUUCAACUCCUAUAACUCGCGAGUAACAGGAAAUCACUCGACUUUUACCGGAACCUAUUAAGCAUUGCAACUACUCGACUUUAGCAACUAGUAUUCAGAUCAAGGGACUAAAUUCAUGCAUCUAUGGUUUCAAUCAACUCCUACAAACGUAAAUGCAUAAUCAUAAGCAUCACAAUUGGCAUAAGAGCGAAACAGGGAAUUCAUGCACUGGGGCUUGCCUUCAGGAAAAGUUAGUGGGUCCUCGGGGUCUUGCUCCAAUUCGGGCUCGCCUACGAAGGGGUGAAGCUCCGCAGCGGGGUCUUCUUCCGGUGCCGGGUGGAGCUCGUAAGUUCCGUCGGCGAGAUUUGCUUCUAUACGAUAUGCACAUGCAAACAUUUAGUUGGACUCGCGCGUUUAAACAAUCACACAAGACAAAGCUGAAAACAAGAGUUACAACAGCCAUAACAAGGCGAGGUUUACUUUCUUUUAACUUCAACGGAAGUGGUCGCUUUAAACUUGAGUUCGCGUUGAAUGGCGAUUGUGUACAUAUAUAGUUUCUCGCAUUUUAGAGUUGCAUAAAGAGAGUGAAGGGUCACAUUUGGGUGGUUUGGGUGCAUUAGCAUAGUUACUUACUUCUGAAUGUUUUUAUGUACCUCUUUCGGUUUCCAUUCAUUUAUCGUAUUAGAGUGUGUGCUUUCCUUCUUAUUCUUUUAGGUCGAUUAAUUAACCAAAAAAUGACAUCCUAUUCAAACAGUAGUUAAAGACAUUGAUAGAAUUACCGUAUCUCUUAUAAGCCAUCACUAGGUCACCGUAAAAGUUUGGGGGCCAACGGACGACUUAAAAAGGAGUUAUAUGAAUUUCUUUAUUUAAGGUAAAAUGAACUUAUCUUUUUCUAUCCUUAAAGUUACUGUGCAACAGGGGGUGAAACUUAACCAGUGUAUUAAGGUUAGAUUACAGGAGCAUUGGUGAAUUUUUCAAAAUUUUUGGAGAAGAUUAACUAUUUAGUCUAUUUCCUUUGUAAUUACACAUGCUUAAUGAGGAAGGUGCUCUUCUUUCUGAUUUGCAUAACAAUUUACAUUUUUCUUGCAAACUUCUCAGCAAAACAAAAUUACCCCAACUAGUUUCACAUUUUUCUGAGCUUUGGAACAAUUAUAUGCAAAAAGGAAGAUUUAUACUUAGAUUACCAAUUUUAAGUCAAAACAGUGACUUAAAGUGUUAGAUCAGAGCCCUAACCAUUUUUUUGAGCUUCUACACAUAUAAACAAGCAUCACAGAGUUGGUUUCAUAUUUUUCAUACUUUUUUUCUAUUUACUAGGAUUUAAAAGGCCUAAACCCAGAUUAAAAGAAUAGGAUAUUAUUUACCAUAGUAACAUGCGCAAACUUAUUUCUCUUAGAAACUAGACAGAUCAAGGAUUCCAACAAAAGUUGUUUGGUAUUUUUGUGAUUUUUCUACGAUUUACUGGGCAUUUCCAAAGUUAAAUCUUUUUUCUACCUAUUAUUAAAAGAAAAGUCGUGGCAGACUUGCAAGCUAGCCCCUGGGUUUAAGGUUAAACUACGCAGAGCUCCCUGAGUUUUGCGCCCAGGCCCUUAGAAAGAAUGGGGACGAAGCAAUGCAGUCCCCCGGGGCGCGCGCGGCGGCGGUGGGAAAAUUCCCGGCGGUUCGCCGGCGAUGAUGGGGCAACAACUGGCCAGGAGGGCGCGGGGGCUCACCUGAGCUCGGUUUGGCAGGGUUGGGGUGACGGAGAUGGCCGGCGGGAAGCGUAAUGCGGCGGAGGCAGCGGAGCUCGGCUGGCGGCGGUGCGGGCGGCGUUCCGGCGCACCGGCGACGUCGGGAAGGCGACGAACUGCUCGGAGACGUGCGCGGAGAGGUGACGAAGCGGGCGGCGAAGUCGCCGGAGUGCGGGGUGGUGCGGAGGGGUGAGCUCCAUGGGAGCUCAGCGGCGGCGCAGAGGAGAAAGCAGUGGCGCGUGUGCAGGUGGUGGCAAAGGGGUGGCGUUGUCGGUGAGGGGGGCCCUUUUAUAGGGCCGUGGUGGAGCGGAGGGUCGAGGCGGGGCUCCGGUGGGGGAGGGAUAAGGCCGGGAGCAGCGGGUGCGUGGGCAAGGCGGCCAUUGGCCAGCGGCGCCAUUGGGCAGAGGAGGCGGAGCUCUGGGUGGUCUCCGACGGCGAUUGGCCUUGGGCGACACGCGUCCGGGGCUUCCGGUCUGUCGGGCGGGCGAGGCGGAGGGCUACCGUGGGGCUUGGGCGAGCAGGCGGAGGUGCGGGACGCCGUGGGCGUGGCAGCUUCUCCGGCAGACGGGCGGAACGGGGUUGGCGGAGCAGAGCCGUGGCAGACGGAAGACGACACGCGCGCGGCUGGCGGUUGGCUAGCCCGGCGUUCGCCCCGUCUUGUCGCAAGCGCGGGUUGGGCGCCGUGGCCCUCGCCCUGUUGCUGUCGCGCCGGUGAUAGGGUGCCGGCGAGCUGCCGGUGGUCGGCGGCCACGCGGCGCGCGGCGCGCGAGCGAACGUGCUCCGACGCGUGGGUGUCGAGGCUCCCUUCGGGCAGCAAGCCCGACCAGCUUUGGGAAGAUCUUUCUCCAGAUUUUUCAACACAACUUCCAAAACUCUUUUAAACAAACUUGGUCAACUCUGGACGUUCUUCAAACUUUGUUUAAUGUGUCAGUUUAGAUUGUGAAAGAAUUUGAAGAUAUCUCGUGCCAAAGUUUGCUAAAAAUCUGGAAUUUGGCCGGAGAGGUAGGAUUGCAGGGACUUAGCUAUGUUUGAGUCAAUUUUUGGGGAGCUUCCAAGUCGAAUUAGACCAAGGUGUUAUUGAAAGAGUUGCUCUACAAACUGAGGACUUCAACUUUUAUUUAGGGUAUUUCUUGAGCUUAGUUCAGAAAAUUGGAGGAACACCCUGUAACGACCUCGAUUAAAAUCCUUCGCGUUAAUCUUAAUCCGAGUCCCUGAUCACCUGUCUCAGUUUACCAAGCCUAAGUGCUCAACCUCCAGAUCUCGCGACCCCCGUGAUCUGACCCCUCACCGUGUUUCCCCCAGUUCCGACCCCGCCGACCCCCAACCCACCGUCGUAUCUUUCUAAGUCUUCCCACAACGCCUCCCUUCAAUUGAGCCGUGGACCACCAAGACUGACCGGUGGAUCCACGAGAUCUUUCUUCCAGAUCUCCCGCGACAGGCGCACUCGAGUUGCAUGCCCGCUUCAGAGUUCCCUAGCCGCGUGGCUCAACUCCUCCGACGCCCGCCGCUCCGCCUCGUUGCCGGCCACGACCGGAUGGAUUCUCGCGCCCCCUUCCCCAAUCACGGCGGAAGCUCCUCUGCCAUCCUUUCUGCAGCACCUCGCCGCCCGCGCCCAUCAUCACAUCACCAGAUCCCGGCUGCAGAGCCCGAUGCCGCCCAUCUUUUCCGUCACCCUUCCACAGUCGCGCCGCCCCGGUCCUCGCUACGCGAUGAUUCCUCCUCCGCCAACCCAGACUGCGGCAGCGACAGCUCCUUUUCCGCCUUGUCAGAAGCUCCGCCCCGACAAUCUGUUGCUCCAUGCUCGCCCGCGCGACCGCAGCCGUCUGUCUUCUCACCUGUGCACCCUCAUUUCUAGCGCCAUUUCCCCGGUCACUUCCAUCAGAUCCACCGCACGACGACGCCCACCUCCGCCAAAUCUCAACCACCGGCAAACCCGCGCCUGCGCCGCCCUGACAUCGGUGCCCAAUGACCACCGGUGUCAUCCCCGAAGUCCUGCUCCACCGCCCUCGUCGCUCAAUCGUCGUCCCGGCAGAGCACUCCAUCGCUCUUCCCCGGCCUUCGUGCCGCUCCCCCUUCUCUCUUCCGCGCAGCUAUAAAAAGGGAAUGCCGGAGCCCCGCCGGAGUCCCCCUUUGCCAUCGCUGCCCUCCCGCUUGCUCCCUGUUCGUGCUCAUAGCGCCACCGCCUAAGUCUGAGGAACUCUCCUCCCCGCUCAAACACCACCUUUCCCCAAUCCACCAACCACUACUUCCCGUGCUGCAUAAGAGCUUGCUUGUGAUCCACAAGAAGCACCGCCGACGUCGGAAUACCACCGGACAUCCUCGCCGCUGUCCCAAGCCUUAGUCUUUCCACCCAAGCCUGUUCUUUCCCGACCCCAAGCCUCAUCUGUAAGACGAAGGUAAGCUACCGACCCUUUGUUCGCCUCGUCCGACCCCUCCUAUCCGCCCGACCCUGUCUGUUCCGCCGACCUUUCUCCGCCUCACCCGAGGGCUCGGCUGUACCUUUUUCCUUGAACCGAGGGUGUAUGUGUAAAACUUGGGGACUUUUCAGCGUUGAGUCUGAGGACCCCUAGCACAUCUAUUCCUCUAGAUUAAGGGUAAGAUCCUAAGUUCCUCCCCAUCCGACCCUUAUAUCUUGAUCUCCACCGACUCAAUCGAACCUCCCCACCCUCCUGUAAUUUGCCGCAAGUUUCUGGGCUCAAACUUGCAAGUGUUGCUGUUGAAAUAACCGUCUAAAUGCUAACCAAUGCAUUGCAUUCGUGUAGAGCUGCGUCUCGCCGACGGCUUCUACGAGCUGCACCCGGCGCCAGAAGACGAAGGUGUAGCCGAGCUCCUGCCUCCAGAAGCCGAAGCCGCCCAAGCAAACGAGCAGCUUCCCUCCUCCUUGCUCGAAGGCAAGCCCCGGAUGCAUGAAUCCCCUAUGUUUUACCAAACUUGCGCAUGCCUUCUUUAACAUGCUUGUGCAUUUACGUAUAGGAGUUGUUUGGAACCAUAGAUGCAUAACUUAGAUCCCUUGAUCUGAUCACUAGCUGUUGGACCGAGUAGAUGCCUUGCUUAACUAGGAAACGGUAAAAGCCGAAUGAUUCCCUGUCACUCGCGAGUUGUAGGAGUUGGUUGUUUCCUCUUCUGUUGUAACUAUAAGGACGAUGGACGGGGCAGGGUUUUGGGUAACUCUUUGGUGGUCGGCUGAUCGCCCCGUCUGUCUAUAAAACUUGCUAAGGCCCGACAGUGGUGGUGUUCGUGAUCAAGUGUUUGAAAGUACUAAUCUUAUACCUAGUAUGGGAUGGGGAAGCCUAGUACCUGAUUGAACUAGGGCGUGGCUUAUACCCCUGCUGUCCCUGGAACGAGGUUCCCAUGGUGCAUCAUGUGGGUGCAAGUGCGGUCACAGUACGGUAGAGACCGGGACUGUGGAGCAUUGCAUGCCAAGGGAAGUUUGGACCUGACACGCGCCUGGGAAUUGAUGGGGACGGCCGACACGGGAAGCGACCCUUGUGGUGCGCGGAUGUCGUGAGAUUAGGUUCGCCAUGCAUGGUUAAGAAACUCGAAUUGAUUCGUCUGCCUCUCACAGUUUGAGACUGCUUGAUCGCUAUGUCACCCUGAGUAAUUAAACAAAUCUGAUGAUGACAUGGUCUUGAUGAUGAUGUAUGUACCUUGGUUGGUUCUAUGUCUGUUUAGAGUAGAUUGCAAACCUAGACCGGAUAAUGAACUUAGAAUCUGAGCUAAAACUUGAAAGUAGGGAUACGCCUAGCGCUUUUGGCAAACAAACCCCUCAGCCAAAAAAGCCUUGCAUGUCUAGAAGUGGUGGAGUAGCGUACUCUCUGUCGGUUAAGUCUUGUUGAGCUUAGUACCUCAGCCUUGUUGUGGCUCUUCUUUUUCAGGUGAAGUUGCUUCCUCUGAGCCUCCCUCUACUGGCACUUGGCCGCCCCAACUCCCUCCGGGUUGGACGGUUGAGUGGGAUCCCUCCUCGGACGGCGAGGAGAGGGAUCACUGAUGUCCCGGUUGGCCUCACCAGGGAUAUCCGACCCCGACGAAGUAGCUUCCGCGCGUUGUUUUACCUUCUGUUGUUUUUCUUCUGAACCUUGUAAACUCUGAUGUUGUUUUAUGGCCAAACUAAAUGGUUAAUUUGUUAACUCGGUGGACUUGUUGUUUUCUCUGGAACCGCUCACCUUCGUGUGGGUUUGCUAUUCGGUCUUGUUCAAGUGGUUAAAUCGGAUGAAAUCCGACGGCACUUCGUGUUUACUUGGUUAAGGCAUGAGCGUCGCGUAUCAGGCGGCUUAAUCAUGACUAAUCAAGCAAAUCCGAAGUGGAUCCGCCACACCCCUCGCCAAGAGGUGUACUCUGCUUAGUUUUCCGGACUUAGGAUUUUAAGGCAUCAGGGGUGAGUUGACUAUUUUACCUCACUUUGACCGAGGUUUUGAACAGGUUCUGGCCCGAUUUGGACCUGGGUCAGUGUAAUAAAGUUGGAACACACUCGAGUUACUACAACUUUCAUUAAGGUCCUGACUCGAGUUUAGAUAGGAAAUCGUGAGAUAAAAGCUUGCAAAGUUGGAGGAAAACUCGAACUCCAGGACUUAAGAGGUUUUUAGAGUUCUUUAGUAUUCUGAUUUUGAUUGUUGUUUUUAACUUCCUGCCACUCCGAAUUAGUCAAAGUGCCUUGAACAAAAGUUGUUUGAAUUAAAAAGUUUUGCAACUCUUAUUUGGGCAUAAACUUAAGUUUGUAUAUAAAAUUCCAAGUUUUAUUUCAAACUCCAAAAAGAGCUUCUUAGGGUUAUAAUGGUCAUUUCACCUCUUUAAUUAGGGAUUAACUACUGGUUUAUAGUUAAAAGCACUUAAUUUAGGUAGAGUUGUUACACAUAGUAAUUUCUCACUAUUUUGCACAUGAUCCCACCAAAUUGGUACUUCUUGGUACUUCUCUUUAGGUACUUCAUUGUACUUCCUUUGUUUCCGCCAUUCGAUUUCGCCGGAUGAAUAGCUCUCAUUUUUUUCAGGCACUCUAAAAUUUCUCUAGAAUGCAAUGUAACAUAUGUUAUACAUCUUACCUACAACAACCAUUAUCAAAUAUAUACUAAAAUAGAGCAAUAUAGGAUUCUAAAUUAUCUAUUUCUACUAUUAUCAAUGUUUGGUACUUUGGCCAAAAUUCACCUGGUGAAUUUCAUUUCUAGCGGUUACCACUAAUAUAUAUACUAGUAAUUUCAGUUUUUUGUUCGGAUAUAAUUUGUUCAUAUUUUCAAGUUUUAGUAAUUUUUUAAAACUUUUGGCAAAGAUUUUAACCAUUUUUGGUCCGCUUGCUUAUCGACUCCCUCAAAAUUUUGACUGAAAAUGCUAGACCGACGCUAGCCAUAGUUAGUAAAAAUACUAACUUGUAAUGCAUGAUGUGUUUCACCAAGUAGACAACAUGUAUCAAGAAAUUGAUGAGAAUUUUAAUUUCCUUAUUAAACAUUUAGCUCAAACAAAGGGUUGAUGGGCAGUUGUCAAACAUAUAUAGAUAUAAAUGUGUGAUGCAAAGUUUUAAAAAAUGAAAUGUGGAUAAUAAAAUAUAGCACAAUUGCUGACUAAAUCCUACCACAACCAAAUAAAGAUGAGUAUGUGUGUCUAUACGAUAACAGUUAGAAUAUGUAAUAAGGGAGAGAUGAGAAAGAGUAAGACAAGCCAUUUAAUUAUUAGUUAUGUCUUGUAAAAUUACAAGUCCAUGUGGGAGCAUGCCUUGAUGAUGCGUUGGUAGCGAGUCACCGUUAGAGAAAUGCACAUACUUCCUCUGUCCAUAAAUAUAAGUAUUUAUGAAUUUCUCAGAAGUCAAACUUUUUAAACUUUGAUUAUCAAUAGCACGAAAUUCAUAAAGAUUACUAACAUGUAAAUGAUGUUAUGAGAUUCAUCAUGAAAACAACUAUUAUGUAAUGGUUUCUAUUUGAAAUAAUUUAUUUUAUAGAUAAGUAGCAUGUUGAAGAUCGUCUCAAUGCCCUAAAAGGCUUAUAUUUAUGGACAGGAGGGAGUAUGUCACCCGGGUAGAGCAUUAUCCAAUUUUUUUCUAUAUAUUUGGCGGUUGAGCUACUUCUUUAAACUCACGCUACCAUCUUACUAUUACUAAUUGGAGGCUCCUUUUGAAGCCUUCAGGUAAAGCCACCUAGAAUUCCUAGGUGGACACUCUAGAAAAAGAGAGAAAUCCUAUAAAUUCUCACAAAAAGCAAAACAUCUCGCCAUCAAUAUGUAGAAUCAAAUCAUCAUAGCCAUUGGAUUUAUUUUUUUCUCUAAAAAAUUACCCACCUAUGCCAUUAGAAAAACAGCGCUAAAGUAACCCCCUAAAUCUAGAUCUAAAUUACCCACCUCUACCAUUAUAUAAAAUUAACUAAAGUAACCCCGAAUCUUCAUUUUUCUCUAAAAAAUUACCCACCUAUGCCAUUCGAAAAAUAACGCUAAAGUAACCCCCUAAAUCUAGAUCUAAAUUACCCACCUCUGCCAUUAUAUAAAUUAACUAAAGUAACCCCAAAUCUUCAUCAAAAUUACCCACUCAUGCCAUUAUAAAUAAUAUUUUUAAAUAACCACCUAAAUUUGCAACUAAAUUAUCCACCACUAAUACUAAAAAAAACUUAAAGUAAUCCCAUAAAUUUGCAUUUAUAUUACCCACAUAUGCCAUUAUUAAAAAUAACAUGAGGUAACACUACAUUUGAAUCCAAUCACCUUAAUUAAAAAUAUACAACAAUAUAUGAAUCUAAAUCAUCUAUUUCUUACACUAUUCAUAUAUGAUAUAAUAACUAAGGUAUAUACGCAUGAUGUGCGUCACCAUUUAUAAAGAUAUAGAGCAAGUGAUAAGAAUAUAGAUUUCUAUGUUAAAAUUAUAGCUCCAACUUAGGGUCCAUUAAACAAAUUCAAGCACAUACCUGCGAUGCAAAGUGAAAAGUUAAAUAUUAUAAAUAUGGAUGCAAAUAUUAUAGUGUAAUUACUAACUAAAAUCUAUCACAAUUGGAUGAAGAUAAUAAAUAUAUAUCUAUGUAAGUAUUGUGUUCGAAUAUUUAACAAAUGAGAUGUACCUCAUGGUAAAAGUUUCGUAGCAAUGUGGUCUUAUUUUUUUCAUUGGAGACUCUGCAUUAGUUCCCAUGAGACACGCUAGGAAAAAAAAAGAUAAAUCCUAAAAAUUCUCAAAAAAAAUCAAAAACAUCAAACACCAAUCAUGUAAACUCUAAUAAUCAUAGUCAUUGAUCUAUUAUAUUUUCUAAAAAGUUACCCACCACUAUUAUUAUGAAAAUAUUCAAAAUAAACUCCAAUUCUAUAUAUAAAUUACUGAGGUCAGCCAUUAUAAAAAUAAUCUAAAAUAACCAAAUAAUUUUCAUCCAAUUUACCCAUACAUAUCAUUAUAAAGCAUAAUUUAAAUAUCAUUCUAAAUUUGUAUCUAAGUUACCCACGUAUGUUGUUAUUAAAAAUAAUAUAAAGUAACAUCUAAAUCAUGAUCUAAUUAUCUUCGUGUGCAUCAUAUAGAAAUAUCAAAAAGUAAACUAAUAUAUGAUUCUAAAUUACCUAUUUAUAUUAUUGUUAAUAUAGAAAUACUAAGUUAAAGUAUAUACACAUGAUGCGUGUCACCAUUUAGACCAUUUAAUGUAUUUGAGGAAUUGAUGAAAAUAUUGAUUUUUAUGCUAAACACAAUGUAUGGAGGUGUGAUACAAAAUGAAAAAAAAGUGUGAACGUGGAUCAAAACGUUUAUAGAGUAAUUACUAAUUAAAAAUUAAUCACAACUUGAUAAAGAUAAGUACGUAUCUAUAUGAGUAUUAUGUUGAAGUAUUGAAACAAUGAAAGAGUAGUAGGUAAUUUUAAUUAUCAAUUAGGAGUUUAAUUUCUAAAUAAUUUUCAAAUUCAAUAACAUUUAAAAACACUAGCCUGUGCGGGAGCACGGUUGAUGGACUAGUUAUGUUCUAGUCAUUGUCAUGAACUCCUGAUUAGCCACUCAUAAGCAUCUUUGGCCCUUGGCUUCCAUAGUUCCAAAACGUGCAUCAUUCUCCCAACAACAAUUGCCCGGCUUAGUUUUAGUGCUAAUUAGAUUCCUUCCAGCACCGACAGUCUGGUCGCUGGAAAAGCAAUGCCGCCAUGAAGAAGAUUGUCAUCCUAUACCCCACCAUCCUCGCCAGCCACUUCGCCCCCAUGAUGCAGCUCGUUGACGUCCUCCUGGAGGAAGGCUACACCGUCGCGGUCGCGGUCAUCGACAUCACCAUGGAACAAGAUGUUGGAGGUAUGCCCUAGAGGCAAUCAUAGAGAUGAUGAUAUUCCUUUUGUAUCCAUGAUUUGUAUGUUGUGUUCAUUGAAUAUCCAUUGAAGGCUACUUGAAUUGAUUUGCAAUUAUGUGAAUUGUAUGUGAAACUCUUUACUUGUAUGGUUAUUCUAAAGUUGUCCCUAGUCGGAGUUCAUGUGAGGACACACAUGAAUAUUAGACUAGCACAUGUAUUAGUUGAUGACUAUGUUUCACAAGUCAUGGACAUGGAGAUGUUGAACUAAUAAUGUGGACACAUGUGGAGACAUGUGCUAGGACUGACCCAACAUGAGAAGUGGUUCUUUCUUUAAACAACAUAUACGCUUUGUCCUUAGACCUGAGAUUGUCGCAUGUAUUCUAGAUGUGGAUCGACCUACUUAGGGGCUAUCAAACGCUACGCCGUAACAGGGUAGUUAUAAAGGUAGCUUUCGGGUUUGUCAAGAAGCAUGCUAUGAGACAUGGUCAAUCAAGAUGGGAUUUGCCCCUCUCUGAUUGAGAGUGAUAUCUCUGGGCCCCUCGAGUGAUCGGAUCCGAAAAUGCAUGGCCAUGCUACGUACGGUUAAGAGUUAACCUACAAAGAGAUUCCGAAUCACAGGAUCGAGAAAGAGCGGUCGGCUUGUAGCUAGACCAAAUAUCGUGAGGCAAAGGGAAUAGCAUGUAUAUUAUGUUGUGAUGGUUCGUUUGAUAUGAUCUUCGUGUGCGUAUAGGAGUUGGCACGUCUUGCUAGAGGCCGCUGCCGACUAUUGGGCCGAGUAGGAGUACUCGGGCCAUGUCUAUACGUAUCCGAACCCAUAGGGUCACACACUUAAGGGGCUGGAAGCCCAAUUCGGAUCUGAUCCGAGUUGGAUUAGGUUUAGAAGUACUAAUGGGCCUCGGAUCCAGAGGCCUGUCAGGAACCUCUAUAAAUAGAGGGGUGGGGGCGCCCUAGGGUUUACACCUUUUUGGCGAAACACACUUGCCGCGCCUCCCACGCCCUCGCCUGUUGCAACUCGCGGAUCUAGCAAUCCGGCUUGCGACGCUUCCUCCCUGCACGUGUGGAUACCUUGGAGGUGUUGCGCCUGCAGCACUUGGACGAGCCAUCGACGAGCCGCCGACGAGCCACGACGAGCCGACGACGAGCCGCGGCACCGGAGGCGAUCUUGCUGCACGUGGACGAGCUGCUGAGGAGCUGCUGGACGUGAUCGACUACGUACGACUACGUGAUCGUCUUCACUGCACCGACGCAUAUCUACAUCUUCCGCACCAGUAGUGCGUCGAGUGGUAAUCCCGUGAUCCUUAUACGGCAGUUCUUCCUGGUUAUACGCGGUAGAAAUUUUGAUUUGCGCUAGUGUAGCCUACCUCGUAUCCCGACACAAGACGCCACCUUCGCCGCCACCGUCGACCGCGCUGCCUCCUCCAGACGGCUGUCGGUCUCCUUCCACACGCUCCCUCGGAUCAGGGACCCUCCGUCUGUCACCCACGGCGCGUAGGUGCUCCUCUGGUACCUCUGAUACAGAAGUGGUCCAGUCUUCUCGACGUAGGAUCGCUGAACCACAUGUAGUGGUAGAAAGAUAACUAUUGUAUUCUCUGAUCUCCAUGGACUAGCAAGCACAAUCUUGAUCUUGAUAAGUUGCCUUCAAACCCUCAAUUCCCAGCGGAAAAGCAAGCACGACCUUCGGCGGAGCGCCCGACUCCCCCUUCUAUGAUAUGCAUAGGAAGAACAAGCAUGAGACCCUCAUCAUGGAGAAGCACAUAGCUAAAUCAAUUCAUAAUUCGAGUCUAAGGUUACAUGGACGCACACCCCUAACAACUUAUAUAGUACCUAAGGGAACCAAAAACCUAAAAACUGGACUCUCACAAAAUUUGGACUCAAUCUGCCGUCAUCUUCCCUUCUGAUUUGCGGCGCAUACUAAAAGAACCUUGGCUUGGGACUCCAUCCAUCACAUGGGAAAUCAAAUUAGCUUUCCAAAGAGUACUCAAACGUCCAAAACGGACUCCAUACAUAGGAGAUAUGGACAUCUUAAUCCAGGGUUGUCAAGCUAUGACGUGGCAAUCCAAAUUGAAUUCAAAUUUUCCAAUCUUCAAACUUCUUCUUAAUUCCGAACCAAAUUCUUGCCAAACUUGAAGAAUGAAGUCUUUAAAUACCUUCUAAAUUAAUGGUAGAGUCGGAUACGAUAAAUAAGGGCUUCUAGAAUACAGACUCUCCACGUUUUACAAUCCACGCUCGUCAACGUGACAGCCUGCAUAGCCUUAAAUGAAAUUGUCAUAACUCUUGGUACAAAACUCCAAAUCAUGCACCGUUUGAUCAACUGGAAAAAAUACUUGAUAGGCUUUCAAAAUAUCAUCUUCCUUCACCUUAGAACCUUCUGUACUGGUGCGCACACCUCAAGAAAAUUGACGGACAGAACUAAUGACCAAGCAACUUGACCUCUUACUCAUCAACCUCGAACUCUUGAGGCGUUACAACAAGCGCCUCCGCGGAUUCCUCUGCUCCAUGCCUCCCGGUAGUGUCCACGCCUUGGUCGUGGACGUGGUCUCCGUCGACGCGUUCGGGCUCAGGAUCCCCGUCUACACCUUCUACCUCACGAGCACGUCCACGCUCGCCGUGUUCCUCCAGCUUCCUUCCAUCCGCGCGCAAGGCCAGCCAAGCUUCAGAGAGCUAGGAGACGCCCAUCUCAACUUCCAUGGCGUCCCACCCAUGCCGGCUUCUCACCUCAUGUCUAAAAUGCUCGAGGACCCGGAGACCGAGAUAUACAAGGUGGUGAUGAGCCAGCUUUCCAAGCAUGCAUCUUGAGGCCGACGGCAUCCUGGUGAACACAUUCGCUUCGCUGGAGGCUCGAGCUGUGGGAUCACUCCGCGAUUCAUGGUUCCUCCCGGACAGUAAGUGCACGAUACCUCCGGUUUAUUUUAUCGGGCCAUUGGUCGUUGAAUCUGGUGAUGGGGCAAAAGGAAAGCACGAGUGCAUCGCAUGGCUCGACGAGCAGCCAGAGCAAAGCGUCGUGUUCCUCUGCUUCGGAAGCAUGGCUGAGGCCAGGUUCUCAGAAGCCCAGCUCAAGGAGAUCGCUGUUGGACUUGAGAAUUCCGGCCACCGGUUCUUGUGGGUGGUGCGAGCACCGCAUCACGACGAACAGGGAAGGCCGUUGGACCCGCCGAUCCAGAUCUUGAUGUGCUCUUGCCCGAGGGAUUCUUAGAGAGAACCAACGGCCGAGGCCUCGUCGUCAAGCAGUGGGCACUGCAGGUGGACGUGCUCCGUCACAAGGCCACAGGCUUGUUCGUGACGCACUGCGGGUGGAACUCAGUGCUAGAGGGGAUCACGGCAGGCGUGCCGAUGCUCUGCUUGCCGUUGUAUUCAGAGCAGAAGAUGAACAAGGUGUUCAUGGUGGAGGAGGCUGGGAUUGGCGUGGAGGUAGUUGGGUGGCAGCAGGGGCUCGUCAGGUCCGAGGAGGUGGAGGCCAGGUAAGGAUCAUGAUGGAAUCCGAGGAAGGGGAGCGGCUCAGGGCGCGGGUGACAGCGCACAAGGAGGCCGCGACCAUGGCGUGGAAGAACGGCAGCUCGUCGCGUUCUGCGUUCAGCCAGUUCUUGUCGGAUGCGGCGGGCAUUGGGACAGGGAAGACGCGCGUGUAACUGCAUUUUGUUACAAGCACUUUGUUCAUCAGCACAACGGUUACAAUUUGGAAAUCACACUUUUCCUUUGCACUUUACUAGAUGCUAGUACAACUGAUCGCUAGUGCAUGUGCUUCUCGCCAUCUCCCACGGUUCCCACACCUUUCCCUGAUGCCCCAACCUGGCCGUCGCAGGGCUGUACCUGCCAUUCUCCACCUUGCUCCCCACCACCAUCACGAGGCCGUUGCGCCUCGUCGCCGGCGUCAACCUCGAACGUUUUCAAGGUGUAGAAAUGGAAACACACGAUGUAGUAAACAAGAUUGAGCACCAAGAGGAAGGUGACGAGCCAGUAGUAGUAGUCCAGCCUCCCCCUGUUGAUGUUGUCCUGGAGCCACACCCCUUUGCUGGCGCUCUGCACCACCGUGACGAGCACCGUGCCCAGGUAGUUUCCCAGGGAGCCGGCGACCCAGAACAGCGCCGCCGCCGAGCUGCGCAUGCUCUCAGGCGACUGGUCGUACAGGAAUUCCAUGUGCCCCACCGUCGAGAGCGCGUCGCUCAUGCCGUGGAGCGCGUACUGCGGCACCAGCCAGAACACGCUGAUGGGCACGACGGCGUUGGGGCUGUCCAGCAGGCCGUGCUCGGCGGCCACGCUGCGCCGCUUAGUCUCGACGAACGCGCCGGCCAUGACGCCGAGGACGGAGACCGCGAAGCCGGCGCCCAUGCGCUGGAAGUAGGUGAUGCCCGACCGCCGCCCCGUGUGGCGGCGCGCGAGGGGCACGAAGACGCGGUCGUAUAGCCCGAGGCUGACUAGCAUGGUGAGCGUGGUGAAGAUGAUCAUGGUUGCCGGCGGGAUCUGGAAGCUCGGGGUGAGGUGGCGGUCCAUGGUGCGCGCCUGCUGGAUGGCGAAGGUGAAGUUGUGCGACGCGGCCGCGAUGAGCGUGAUGCUGGCCGCCCACAGUGGCAGCAUGCGGACGAUGGACUUGAGCUCCUCCACCCGGUGCACCGUCGACACGCGCCAUAGGUGCGGCUCGCCGGAGUCGGCGACGUCGUCCGUCGUCAGCACGGCCGCUCGGUCCAAGAACCUUCACGUGGGACAAGUACCAGCAGGCAUUAGCAAUUCUAUAAUCUAAGCUCGGAGACGUUGGAGACCAGCCAAAAUAAACAACGAGAGCCACUUGAGCUAAAUGACACAGCGAUGCACAUGGGAGUAUGGGACCAACGACUAGUAAGGAGUCAAUGGCACUUGCCUAAGCUGAUCGGUGUGCAGCAGCCUGCCGUCGGCGGCGAUGGGGGCGUCCAGCUCCUUGUUGUGGUACAGCAAGCCGGCGUCCUCCGGCACGUCUUCCUUCCUCUUCUUGAACGCCGCGACGACAACCUGCAGCAGCCUCUUGAAGGGGCUCCCCUCGGGCUUCACCUUCACGUAGAGCGGGUAGCCGACCACGAACGAGAGCACGGAGAGGAACAUGGCGAUGGCCGGGAUGCCGAACCCCCAGCCCCACCCCACGUUCUCCUGGAUGUACACCACCACCGUGAGCGCCAGCAGCACGGCGAGCCCCAUGCUGAAGAAGUAGAGGUUGAAGUAGCUCCACUUCUGGUCGCCGCCGGGGCGCCUCCCGCGCUGGCCGAACUGGUCGGCGCCGAACGCCACCACGCAGGGACGGAUGCCGCCGCCGCCGAGCGCAGUGAGGAGCAGUGGCAGGUACAGCAUGGCGAGCUGCCCGCCGUUGGCGCGCUGGCACGUCGAGGGCGCCCCGGCGGCGGCGGCGGCACCGCACGGCGCGGGGCGGAGCGCGGGGGCGAGCGCGGACACGACGAGGCCCAGCAUGCCGAGCAGGUACAGCGCGCCGCCCCCCGCGAUGGUCCAGAAUCGGCCGGCGCCGGAGUCGGCGACGAUGGCGCCCAGGACCGGCGUGAACGCCGCCGUGCCGUUGAGGUUGGUGAGCAGGUUGGAGGCCUCCACGAGCGGCAGGUGCAGCUGCUGCGUCAGGUACGUGAUCAGGUUGGCGUUGAAGCCGGCCGUGGCGAAGCGGUCGCAGAUCUCGUUCGCUGCAGGGCAUGAUCGGAGUAGCAUCAGCCGCGGUACAGUCAAAAUUCACAACAAAACACUGACGAAAUGUAUUAUAGAAAGCUGAUUCAUGAAAGUGCGAGUGCCGUGACCGCACCUAGUAUGAACGGCAUUGUCUUGAAGCCGCCCUGCUUCGUCUUCCUCGGCGACCCAUCCUCAUCGGCCGGUGCCGCAGUCGCCAUGAUAGAUGCUAGUCGUCCGUCCUUACUCCUUACUGCCGUACUGGACUAGUUACGGUCUUACGGAUACUGAGAUACAGUACGAAACUGAAGUGGCAGUGGAGGCGCAGGUCAGGGCUAAAAUAAGUAGCAAUCCUCUGGCAGAAUGGGCAAGUGGGCAGUGUAAUCUAGUCCGCGACGACCAACCCGGCGUGCGAACAGCGACGCAACUACCAGAGACAAACGAGCGAACAGUGCAGUGGGGUGCAGCUAAGGCCACCUCCAUCGGUUCUGGACUCCUGGUGACUUCGCCAGCGAACGUGAAGAAGAGAGGAGCAUCGCACGUGGGGCCCGCGCUCUCUAUCCCGUUCUCCCGCCACGCCUGCAAAUCGAUCGGCGAUGAGCGAAGCGCUGGCCGGCUGGUUUUUUCACUGCUCAUCGAUUAAAAAACUCUAUAAACUAACCUCCGCGCUACCGUUGGAGACGCCAACGAGUUCAGAACUAGAAUUCAUAUCCGACAGAUCACAGUUGUUUAGUGAGACUCGCAUUCAGGAAAGUCAAUUCGUCGCCGGUCCAGGACUCCAGGUCCAGCCAACCGAGGGGGACCCCACAAGUAUUUCUAGCAUCAGAUUUACUUCUAACAUAGGCUAGUAGGAUGCCUCUCCAUGCUUAAGAGACUCGCGCAUCUCAUCCAGGGAUGCAGUCGUGACAUUUUCUUUAAAACACCGUCAAUGCUACCCCUCCGUUCCAAAUUAUAGAUCGUUUUAGCAUUUCUACCUACAUAAUUCUUACUAUAUAUUUAGACACAGUGUAUAUAUAGAUAAGUAGUAAAAACUAUAAACCUAAAAUGGUAAAACGAUCUACUUUGGGACGGAGGGAGUAGGUUAUUACAGUGUAAUCAUCGCAGACGCCAUCUGGCAGAUCAAACAGCCACACAUAUAGGCUUACAUAAUCAUACAAAGCACUUCUCGUCAAAUAAUGUGUAUCAAAGUUGAAGUCUCUCCAUUCAUGGACGAACUCCUCACUGGUUCUCGUUCUUGACCGAGAGAAAGAGGAGCGAGAGAAAGGCACCGGAGGGACGAGUGUAAAGUAGUUGGAACUGUGGUUGCUUAUCCCCGCAUAUCACGGGUUGCGUGUUUAUAUAGGGGCCAUGAAUAGAGGAUUACAUGGAUGAGGGUUGUUGAGCCUGGUUCGGUUGCGUGGGAUUACAAGCUUGAGUAUCAAGAAAGAUAUAGAAGAGAAGGUAGGGGCAGAAUUGUCUAUUUACUUGGUCUGGAAAAUGAAAAUGAAAAAGAAAAGAAUUGAAAUAAAUAAAAGGUGAGGAUAUUUCUUGAAUAGAAAGAAUUCACAUGCUAAGGGUUGCAUAUCAAAAAUUUUUGUUCCAAGGUGAGACCAAUUUGGUUGCUAGUUAGCGGGCCGAGCUUGACUUUGCACGCGUGACCAGCGACCCACACACAUCUCCUGGCCCACCUGCCCGCAACACACAACGGCACCUGCUGAGAGAUGACGGGGCGCAAAGCCACAAAAGCGCCCCCGUGCACGACAGCAACCCGGCGCGAUACGGCUAUCCUAUCGCAUUUUCGCACAGAAGCCAGACUGCCAGAGCGAACCAGACGGGACGGAAACACCAGCCAGCUGAGCCCCACGUCCGGAUUUACCCACCACCAGGCCACCACGAUUGCGGCUGCCAGCCCACAACGCGCCUGGACCGAACGGAGAGCGUCCCGGAGUCCUGGUGGGAUGGAAUGGAACUAUGGAAGCAUGGGCGCGGAGGCACGGGAGACCACCGUACCGUACUGCAUUGACUCAUCGUUGUCUCGCUAAGGCCUUGUUGGGCUGGCCUUGUUCGGCUGCAGAGGCAAAAUCCAAAGGUUGAUUAAUUUCUUGCCAGGAUUGGGUGGAUGCCCUUGAUGCCACCCAAUCCCUGUGCGGUUUAAUUCCCGGCUAAUCCCUUUCCUCCAUAUCUUAUUCGGUUAGGUAGGGAUCGGCAGGGAUAGGGAUCAACGAUUAAUUCCAGAACUGCAUUCAAGCUCAGAAGUAGACACAUUAUCAACUGAUAAGAAGUACAAAUGCAUACACAAGGGAUCAGUUCAAAUUCCAGAACUACAAAUGAGGCCAUUUCAUCACUAGUUCUAGCCUCUACCACAAACAAUAAGAGUAUGACCAAUAUAGGAAAAAGAGAAACAAGAACAACCGUACAACAAACAUGUUCAUACAUCAAUCUGAGUUGCAACAUAUAUCAUCUGAAAUAGUCAAACCACAAAGCUGAACUAUCUUGGGGAUCAGCACAGCAACCCAUGCAUACAUAGUCGAAAUAAACAAUAGGUUCAUAACAAGCAUUGGUCCGCCGAACAAACAAACAAAUAUUCCAGCAAGUCUAAAAUCUGAGCAAGAACGAUAGCAGCCUUUCCACAUGAAGCAACCUUCCCACAUAGCAUAACCACCAUUGUCCUGCAGGAUACAAAACACAGAGAAGUAUGAAUUAACAGAGUAUCUUUUCAAAUACUUUUGCAGUAACUGAACAAAGCUAGUUAGGAUAUUUCAGAUUGCUACAGAAGAAAAUACUCAAGCAUUUUAGGAGUUGAAUUUACAUGCAUCUGUACCAAUUAACAGACCACAGCUAGUUCAAUGUUGUAGUUAAAUGAGUGGACAUCCCAAUUGAACCACACAGGAUGCAUGCUGAAAGUGACUGAAUGCAUAAGUAUGAUUGUUCUAAGUAUGAUUGUUAAUGAUACAGCAACAGGUAUGCCACUAUUCUAAUGAACUUUCUCUAUUUUUACCUAUGAUAUUCUUGCCUCAGUUAAGCUUCUACUACUACCCCUAAUACUCUUACUGCAUGUUGACUCCUCGACUUUUGCAGUAACUGAAAUAGAGCUAGUUAGAUAACUAGCUGACUCCCUAACUUUUGCCUCAGUUAGCUCUAUCUAUGAAUUUUUUGGAAGUGAGAUCAAUAGCAUUAUCAGAUUGACAAGGAACAAAAUACUGCAAUAUCUAUGAAUUUACAUGCAUAUGUACCUGCUAAGCAGUCUUUUCAGGAAGUGAGAUCAAUAGCAUAAUCAGAUUGCUAAGGAACAAAAUACUGCAGUAUCUAUGAAAAUACUCAAGAAACAAGUAGGAGAGGAGAGGGGAAGGAAGAGAGCACUACUAGUUAAUGGUACCGGGUCCCAAGAAGUACCUUUAAGAGAUGGUACUAGGUCCUAAGACGGUGGAGGUUGUUCUUCUCCGACUUGAACCAAUGCAAGGAUAAUGUACAAACAAAAAGUAGAAUAUUCAAGAACUUAGCCAGCAGAGGUUAACAGCAGACAAUUUAAGUUUUCUACAAGUAGGACUUAGCUAGCAGCAGUUUAUAGGGUUAAUCUAAAAAAAAUCAUAGGACUGUCUACUAGUAUUUUCUAUGGAAGAAAAUAUCCUUCUGGUAUUCUUUAACGAUAAAUAUUAACCUUACCUUUACUUGCAAAUGGCAUAACAAAAAGUACUAUAGGAUUAGGAUAAUUUAUUUUCUCAAGGAUGGCUAAGCCAUAACAGCAAUAGCAGCCUUUCAAGCAAAGGAAUCAUGACAUAGAUAUCUAGAAACUAGAAAUGACAGGACUUUGAGCUGAUAGUAAUUGGAAGUACAUAUGUAAAUAUCAAGAAUUGAAAUUGAUAGAAGGCCACAGUAAGAGUGCAGUCCGCUGUACCAGGCCCAAGCCAACUGCUACUACUUUUCAUAUAUGUUGACCAUAAAAUAAGGUGUUUGGCAUUCAUGAUCAACUAAAUAUGUAGAGUGGAAAUAAUGGUUUGGCACUCAGACAAAUAAAUUAUACCACACCUUGUAAGGUAGAUAAAAUGAUGCACAAAGUUAAAAAAUUGAUGACAAGUAUUAAAGUCUUCAUCCAAAAAAGGUACCAGUACCGAAUAACAGAAAUCAGGCCAUCAAGAUCAAGGCUUGAUGAUGAUUGCAUAGCCAUCAUUAGCAAUUGCAAACUUGAUUGUUUAUUUAAAAACAUGAUAAUCACUAGUAACAAGGUGUGAUGAUAACAUCUGGAUGAUAAAUAACAUAAGAAUCCCCACUAGUAAAAUAAGGUUCAGAGACGAUAACAAAAAGAUGAUGUUGUCACAAACCAUAGUAACCAGCAAUGCAAGUUCUAACAGUUCGGUCUUGAGACAAGCAUCACCAUCAACAGAUAACACAUUCAAUUCAGUGCAGUGAAAUAACAGUAGAGCACAACAGUUGAUCCAAUAUUUAGGCAAAUCAACAACUGCAUUUUGCGAAUCAAGAAAUGCAAAUCAAGAAUCUUGUGCACACUUGGACUCUUGACAAUUAGAUCUGGGCAUGUGAAUCAAAACCCUAGCAGGCAAGGGAGAGAAGAGGAGAAGGGCGAGGAUGGGUGACUCACUGUUGACGCUCGUUAUUGAUACACUUUUACCCCUAUUUAUCUUCAAUAAUGAUAUGAAUUUAAUACCUAAACUAUCGAUCACACCUAUUAAACCGGUCAUUUUCACAACGUAUUUUGGAGGAUGUUGUGUUUUUGCAGGAAAUUGGGCCUAAAACAUAUUUUUGGAUAAAGCACUCAAUGAGCAUUGAACCAGACAAAGACGAAGGUCAAAGGGCCUAGGAAAGGGCCAGGCUAAUCGGCCUGAUACCCUCAGACACCCCCUGGUGCCCAUCUUUGGCAAGCAACCCUCCAACAUUACUUAGGGGCUAAGUUUAUGAAGAUAUGGCAAGGACCAGCUCGGCAUCAAAGAGGAAUCAGAGAAGAUCAAGCAGAGAUUUGGAAAGUCAUUGAAGAUCAAUCUCAUCCCGAAGCUACCGACGUGCCAGGCCCACAUGCAAGUGAAAAGAACAUUUCAAAGCACCUGAGAAGACUUGGAGAUGAAACAGGACAUGACAAGGCAAAAGGAAGGCCCAGGCCGGCCGAUCGGCCUGGACCCUCCCAAGCCGAUCGGCCUAGGGGUUUCCUUCACCCUCUUGCCUUCCAAUUUUUGCCACGCGACCUCUGGACUAUAAAUACCCCCAAAAACCACCAAGCCCGCAGAUUGGAAACAACGUACUCGAUGUGAAGCAGCAGAGAAGCAAAAGGAGCUUGAGGGACACCACUUCAGAGAGCCGAAGGUCGUGCAGGGGUUAGCGUAGGCGAGCCUGUGCUGGCGUGAUCACCCUGCGAGGAAGAUCACGCUGGAGUUCUGGAGCUAGAAGUCAUCAAGAUCAAGGUAGGAUCUCGGUGGCGAUCUUGUGAUGUACAAUCAUUCAUGAUGAAGUAAUAGAUCUGUUUGUAUUCUUAGCAAUCUAAGUAUUUCCUUCUAUGGUUUUAUGCUCCAUUGGGUUUGCUUGCUUUUCAAUCUAUUAAUCGAUGAUAGAUUGCUUAGGAUGUUGUUGUGGUCGUGGUGAUCGAAUUUGCAUGCCUGAUCUACCAAUGAGUAUAACAUGUUCUUUUGAUCGUACAUUUAAUGUACCUAUGCUGAUAGAAGGGAUCGUGAUGGGAUCUUUCUUGUGUAAGAUAGGGGGUUUCAGAAGCCGGACCAAAGGUGUAGAUUUAAAGAUGCUUUUUACUAAGAUCAUAUAUAUGUUAUUUUGCUAUCUAUGCUUAGAAUUAUAAUAUAUGCAUAGUCUAGGUUGCUCUAGAUUGGUUACCUCUACUAUAUCUGUUAUCUGUCUAUACAUAUUUAGUAGAUUAGAUCUGAAUCACUCAUCAACACCAAGUUCAUCCUAACAAUGCUAGUUAAAAUAGAUCUUAUGCUAUAAAUUUCACGGAUUGAUAAACCUUGGGGAGUACUCUGAGGGAAGAGCUACAACUGAUCUGUGCACUUGCGGUUCACAACUUGGAGUGCUAACAGCCAUCAACACUCACUGGCGAGAAGACAGCCACCAAAGGGGAUGAGUGCUUGAGGGGAGAAGACCGCGUGCCGCCAAUCUGUCGUGCCCCUUGUGGGUAUCCACCGCCACCAUCAGGAGAGGUUGCCGUAGAGGAGACAACCGCCCUCCUGCUGCUUCACCCGCUCCGUCACCGCUGGCCGAAGAUGUCGUGCAGAGCCGCGUGACAUCUCCACGCCACCUCUUGUGCGCAAACCCACAUCGCCUAUCGUGCGGGGGUUCCUUCCACGCCAAUGAGAAGAUGAUUCGUUCCUGGGCUAAGUGCAACAACAUGGCCUAGGAAAAUAGCUAAGGCCCACUCUACACGUUGAAUGGACCACACCUGCUAAUUAACACACUUGUGCUUUCGUCCUCGCUUCGCGCAAAAGGUUGCAACUGGAGUUAACAGCUUCCUACAACCACCUAUUUAAGCUGGUUCGAUUCCCUCUCUGUUUCCGGUUUGGGACUAUCCUCGUGUUGCUACAGUGUUUUUUAGCGCUACAGUGGUUGCGUGCUACCGUAGCCCGAAUUCUACCGUAGCCCGAAUUUGUCCAGCCUAACUGGCCCAUGGGUUGGGAUGUCAAACUGGGUAGGAGAGAAUAGGGGUUUUGGACCUUGAUACGACCUAGACCGGGGUUAAACGAACGUUGAGUUUUUGAUGGGCUGGGAUCCGAACCAGGAUGGGGUGACCUGUGGAUCGGGCCGCAAUCCCGGCCAAUACCGGUGCAAACAAACAAGGCCUAAGAGAGAUCGUGAGCUCAUAAACCGGGUCCAACCGAACCAAGAAGUCCAAGAUGACAAGAACAAGAGACAGGUGUUCUCUAGGUCUCUCCACAGCUUUUCAAUGGUUGUCUUUUUACGGUUAUUUUGUUUCCUUUUUAUUAAUAUAACAGGGCAAUGUUCUUAUCGUCUUUUCGAAAAAAAAGAGAUUGGCGUUGGUCCGGCGCACCAGUCUCGCCUGUGGCACCAUUGCCUUAGUGCGAAAACCUACGGCGACUAUUGGGAAUUUGACUCCGCCAAACAGGAGAAGAGAGGAAACUAAAUGAGAAGAAGUCAUAAUUUAAGGAGAAGUGUGGGAGUGCUUCCGGUGAGUCCCCUCCUCGAGCCUCCAUGGGCCCUUUAUAUAGAAGAGGAGGGGGUGGCAAUUAGCCCCGAGCUCCUUGUACGUACAAAAUUUACAACUAGGCAUUCCAAUCUUUACAUGGGCCGCCCUUCACUCUUAGGUUGGGCCAUUCCGCCAAGUUGUCAUCCUCACUUAAACACGCUACAACAGUUAGAAACUAGUGAGACGAAAGGUGGGGUGACCUGCGGAGCCCUUUUCCCCCAACAGGAAAGUGGCUUGAAAUUGGGAACACAAGCUUUGUCACAGGAACGAAGUCAAGCGAAUCAGCUGCCUUGUCGCACAUUAUUAAAACAGCUUGUCCUAUCCACAUGCCAAGCAAACGAAGUACCCGUUGGUUAGCUUAGCUAGCAGCUGCCUGUACCAAACAACGAAGUUGAUAGUUGCCCAGCAAUGAUAAUCCACAGAUAUUUCUACGAGCAUUCGAAAUCCACUUCGGCGCGUCCAAAAUGGUUAGCUAGCUGCUGGUGCUCCCAACAAAAAGCCCCAGGUUCCGGUUCAAGUAUAAAAAAUAUUUUUGUGAAUUUUUUUAAUCAAUAGUCAAUCGCAAAUAAAGGUGACGAGAGACAUACUAGUUAAGAUAAGCGGCAACGGGGACACGGCAGACCAGACGCCCACAGCACGGGAUGCAGGCCACCGCCUGGUCCAGGCCGUGGAUGCACAGGUGGGCAUGGUGCCCUCUGCGACACAUCCUGCACCCGUCUAGGAGGAAUCGACCGUCGACGACCUCUUCACCAUACCGGCUCUGCCAAUUCUGCAUCAACUGCCGGAACAUCGUCAACGCGUGCGCCGGACCUUUGACAUGUCUUUGGUACGCCGAAGCGCGCGACUAGCUAUGAAGCUGGUUGUGCCAGCCCUACAGCGCGCCCAAUGCAACUUGUGGCGCAAGUUGGGUGUCUCGGACGACGAGCUACGCCCUAUUGAGGAUAUCCAGCAGGAAUACAUGAACUCGCACAAGUGGCCGCUCCCGGACCACAUUAUCGUAGCAAUGACGACCCUCUUUGACCUGGACGAUGAAGAAGCGGAACAGGUGAAUGACAAGCUUCUGCAGCAUGCUGGACAGGCAAUUGAUGACAUCCAGGCUGAGCGUACUCCCUCCCAAGAAUGAGAGCCUCGGUACCUCUGCACCGUUGGAGAACAGUCCUCUUCAUGUAUCCAAUUCUCUUCCCGCACUAUUUUAUGUUUACCCCUCCACGCCCUGUUGGCUGCGACCUUCGGGCUAGGAGCUGCACCAGUCCUACUGGCUUCGACCUUCGGACUUACUGUACGCCGCAUCGACUUCGCCCUGCUGGCUUUGACCUUCGGGCACUGCACCUAUCUGCGCAACGAACGUUAACUACAAACGUCGCUCCGAGAUCCCCCUGCGCUAACACACUCCUAUGCAUGUCUGCCCCAGCUAACUACAUCUACAACGAACGCUACACGACUACCAAUGGCGCCGCAAAAUUUUUAAUAUGCAUAUAGGAAGUUUCGACACUAUCAGGUGGAAUGUGCGAGGACUUAACGCUCCUGCAAGAUGCAUGAUCGUUCACGAAACACUAAAAUCGAUGCCAUGCCAUAUAGCGUGCCUUCCGAAAACUAAACUAAAUCAAAUCGAUGCGGCCCUCGCUUCUUUCCUGGGUGGCUACCGCCUGUCCAACUUCACUUACAAACCGGCGCUAGGCACCAAGUGGGGAAUCCUCAUUCUAUGGGAUGUUAACUACGUUGACCUCAAAGAUAUCCAGAUUGGGCGCUUCUCAAUUACAACAACAGUAUCGGCCAAACAAUGCAACUCCGAAUUCACACUAACAACAGUCUACAGACCAUCAAGGACGGAACUGAAAACAGCUUUCCUACAACACAUACGAAACAUGAAACCUGACACCAACACUAAAUGGCUCAUCUUUGGUGAUUUCAACCUAAUCUACAAGGCAAGUGACAAGAAUAACAGACUGAAUCUCCAACUAAUGCGUCGCUUCCGAAGUACUCUAGCUUUUUGUGGCCUUAAAGAAAUUCACCUACAAAAUCGCAAAUACACGUGGAGCAGUGAAAGGUGCCAACCAACGCUUUCGCGUCUGGACCGCUUCUUCUGCAACGAGGCUUGGGAUCUCGCUUUCGACGAUCACACUCUGCAUGCUCUCUCCUCCUCACACUCCAAUCAUUGCCCCCUGCUGCUAGCAAAACUCUCUGGAUCAUGGAAGCCACGCCCUUUCAAAUUUGAGAACUUUUGAACAAAACUGCCACGCUUCCAAGAGAUACUACAACAGGCAUGGAGUCUACCCACGCAUCAUACAAAACCUUUCCACCGCCUUGGCCACAAGUUAUACUCAACAGCUAUGGCGCUUAGGAGAUGGAGCAGUUCCCUCAUCUUGGAUGCAAAACUAAAACUACAGAUGACACAAGUGGUGAUCCUUCAUCUCGAUGCUACGCAAGACUUUAGACCCCUCUUGGACGCUGAAUUCACUUUGAGAGCCAAACUCAAAAAACGUACUCUAGGCUGGGUGGUAAUUGAGCGAGCAAGGAAACAACAAUCAUCACACAUCAAAAACCUCAGGGAGGGGGAUGCGAAUACGCGAUACUUCCACCUUAAGGUCAAUGCGCGUAGAAGGAAAAAUUUCAUACAACGGCCUGACACGGGAUGGGCCCUCUCACAUCAAGACAAGCAGGACAUUGUGCAUGAACACUUCUCCAACAUAAUGUUGACACCACAGCAUCGCACACGAGACCUGCAUUGGGAUAGCCUGCAACACAGUCAGGUGGACCUAUCCGACCUAGACCGCACUUUCGACGAAAAGGAGAUCCUGCACACCGUCAAACAGCUCCCGCACGAACGCGCACUAGGCCCGGAUGGCUUCACAGGGAUCUUCUUCAAGGCAUGCUGGAACAUCAUCAGAGGAGACCUAAUGGCGGCAGCUAAUGCUUUCUACAACAUUCGCUGCAACAACCUAAAUCUCCUAAACAAAGCAAACAUUGUCCUAAUUCCUAAAAAGGAAGGUGCAGAAACUGUACUGGAGUAUCGGCCAAUCAGCCUCAUCCAUGCAUUUGCAAAAAUCAUCACCAAAGCUCUAGCGCUACGACUAGCCCCGCACAUGAACGCUAUCAUCUCACCUUGCCAGAGUGCCUUCAUCAAGACCAGAAGUAUUCAUGACAACUUCUUAUACGUCAGAAAUAUCACCCGUCAUUUCCACUGAAAUGCGACUCCAGCUCUACUAAUGAAACUAGACAUCUCCAAAGCCUUCGACUCAGUCCGCUGGGACUACCUCAUCAUCUUGCUGCAACACAAAGGCUUCCCUACUCGCUGGAACCAAUGGAUUAUGGUUCUUCUUGCUACCUCAACUUCAAAAGUUCUGCUCAACGGCACGCCCUUGCCAUCGAUCCAGCACGGUAGAGGCCUCAGACAGGGAGACCCCCUGUCACCUCUCCUCUUUGUUCUGGCCAUCGAUCCACUACAGCACAUUAUUGUCCAGGCAACGGAGAGGGGCCUACUCACCAAGCUAGGAGGAAGAGCGGCAAGAUUCAGAGCAUCCUUGUACGCCGACGACGCUUCCAUAUUUGUUAAGCUGACACACAAAGACAUCUCCAACAUGGUGAACAUACUGCAACAGUUCGGAGAAGCCACUGGUCUACGCACGAACCUACACAAGACUCAGACCGCACCCAUAAGCUGCCAAAACAUUGAUCUUGACCAUCUACUCAAUGAACUGCUGGUUGCAAGAUCAACAUUCCCAAUGCGCUACCUUGGUCUUCCCUUAUCAACAAAGCACCUCAGGAAGGUUGAGUUCCAACCACUAAUAGAUAAAGCGGCAGGUAAACUAUCUGCUUGGACCGGACGAAAUCUAACGCAGGCCGGCAGAUUAGCCCUCACGAAAUCGGUCCUCUCCUCACAGCUGGUAUACUUCCUAACGGUUCUCAAGGCAAAUAACGAGGUGCUCCAAGAAUUAUACAAAAUACGCAAAAAAAAA